rnacentral:lncRNA from 1 species
UUUUUUUUUCUUCCAGAAACGUACAUGUAGCUGUAUGACAUAAUGCUUAAUCCGAGAAACAAGUAACUUUAUUCUAUUUGAAGGUGAUCCGAUUCCGACAAUACAACUGUCCCAACACAAGCAAAAAUGUAAAUUCCCUAAAACCACCAGGGCAGUUGUCCAGGGAAGAAGGUAAACUUUAAGUUACAACGAAGUGAUAUUUCUCAUCUCAUCAGCACUAACCAAACAGGAGUAUUUCAGUAUGGAUAGUUCACAUGAAAAAGCGAACCGUAUAUGUAUGCUACUGCCUCUCACUUGCUCUUCAGAGCAGGGCCGUUUGUGGUGGUAAUGGCACCCUUUGGUGGGUUGAGCUCAUCCCAGGCCUCAAUCCAUGUGACCAUGGCAUCAGCAAGCUUGUUGAAGUAGCCAUCCACCUUGCCGAGCUUCGCCCUCACCUGCUUGGCCAGCUCAAGGUAACACUUCUGGACAGUGGUGGCCUCCUUUGAGAGAGUCACAGACUGGAAGAAGGGGAUCAGCUCCUCCUGCCAGAAGAUGCCGUUGUAUUCCUUCUUUAGGUUCACAAACGGGUUGCUUGCUUUGCUGUGCCAGAUGUAGGGCAGACCAGUCUUAAUACCCAGGCUCAAAUGAUCAGUAAUCACCUGUGUAGACAGAGAAAAGAUAAUUCAGUACAAAGAAUUGGAAACAGGCUAGAUACAAUUUUUAGCAUCCGCAGUGCACUAGAUGUAACUAAUUGUCCAUGGCAACCAACCAACAUGUUCAGUUUGCAUUCACAGACAAACACCAAUACAGUUUCAAAGAAAAUGACAGAAUGUACCUUGGUGCACCAUCCAGCCCACAUAUCAUCGUAGCGACCAAUAGGCUGGCCAUCACCCAUAAGGCCAAAGUACAUUGCAGGACCAAUGAGCUCACGGUCAAACGCGAGGUUCAUUCCACACAUUGGAAACAAGGUACCCUUCGGGAUUGUAAGAACAGCAUCAACAUACCUGAUCCCAAGAAAGAAACAUCAGAUUAGAAAGAAGAGAUUGUUUAAAAUAUUGAAGUGCCAAAUGUAAAAUUCUCACCUGUUAUUUCUCUCACGAGGCUUGACAAGCUGGGUAGGGGCAUCAUAGUCUGGAAUGUUGAGCCAAAGCCCAUGAGACACAGCAGUUGGGGCACCCUCGCGAAGGCUGAAGGGGUACCCACGAACAAAAUCAGCACCCUCACGGUACGGGUCGUACAGAGUAUUGAAGAAAAAUGGAGUUGAAGGGCUCAGAAGGUUCUUGAUGUGCUGCUCAAGUGCAUUGAUGUCCUUUCCUGAUGGGUCCUUAGCAACCUGAGAUUUUGUGAAAAUAAUAGGUUAGCAAUGGGCUAAUGGCAUGGCAUCUGCUGCAUCACCAAAUAUACUGACCAAUUCAGAAUGGGAGACCACAACAAUGGCAUCAAGAUAAAAAAAUUGAGAGUGCAAGCAUGUGCGCAUGCUAGCAUGUCUGUCAACUAAACUAGCAAACUAUUACAUAACCCCUUGACUGCAGGUGAUGCCAUGAAAGAGAAUAUGGUGUACUAUUUUCUAGGUAAAUGAAUGACAAAUGCAGGCCAGAGACCGAUUCUUACAGUUAGAACUUUGCUUUUGUACUAGAUCUCUGCUUCAUAGGCCAUCUCAGAGAUCCAACAAAAUCAAAAUUAUUUAGCAAGUAGGUGGGACCCUCACGUGAAUAUACAAUUGUUAUUUUACAUACCUUGUGUCAAGGUAGCUGUCAAAACAAACACCUCGCGCCAAGGUAUGUUUUAUAACUAGAGAUAAAUCCAACUAGAAGAAGGUAUGUAGCCCAUUAAAGAAAAAGGAUGGUCACAUCUAUCGCUCAGUCCAUAUAUGCCAUCACUUUAGGCUCCAGGUCGAUCCACACAGGAUGCAAUCAUUUCAAAAUUUUUUGACAAUCAUUUAUCCCAAAGCUAAAAGUACUGAUGAGGACCCUCAGACACAAAAAAAGAUGCAUCACCAUAAGUGACAAAGUAAGGCGGCAGGCGAUACUUACAAUUGUACUGUCGCAUUGUUAUAUCAGAAAUUAUUAAUCCUACAACAAUUGUGGGGUAAUAAACUACCAACACCACAUAUCCAUAGCUUGCAACUCCACCUCAUACCAAUCCAACUGCAAGCAAUACAGGACCAAACCAGUGUGGACACCUCCAAUGCUUGAUACUCCCUCCGUUCACAAAUAUAAGAUGUUUUAACUUUUUUCUGAAUAUAUAGACACCUUUUAGUGUGUUUGUUUGCUCAUUUCAGUCCCUAUGUACUUCAUAUUGAUAUCCAAAACUGAACUAACAUUGUUAGAUCUAUAGAUGCGACUAUCAUGCUAUACAGUGCCAACUAGAUAUAUCAGUCAGUCAUCUGGUGAAAAUUGCAUUUACCUAUCCAGAUCACUUCCUCCCAGAAAAAAAAACUACCCAGAUCACAGGGCUACGAAUCACGUGAUUUUACGCGCGAGUGAUAUGAGCGAUUAUAACUGACACGAGUAACAACAUGAUACGAAAUUUACACCGCUACCCAAUGCAGCACCCCCACGAUUAAAUUAAUUAGAGAUCACGCCUUCGUCCUCAAUUCCCCCAACCAGAUCUGGGCCCCACCCACACCAAAAUCCACCUCCCGACCCGUGACAAAAUCACACAGUGCAGGACACUCCAUAAUCUCGAGCAAAUUCGAGUGCGAUCUAGCCCAAUCGAGCCAAAUUUCACCACUACAUGGGAAGAAUCUCUCGUAACACCAUAGGCGAGAGCGCAAGAGAGCACUCACGAAGCAGUCGUCGUCGAUGGUGUAGAUGUACUUCUUCUUGGAGACCAUGUAUCCGAAGCAGCGGCAGGCCGAGUCCUUGAAGGAGAUGCAGGAGGCCUUGGGGCCGAGGAUGCGGUUGACGUCGUUGCGGUUGUAGAGCUCGUAGUCGAAGCCCUCGGGCACCUUGAUGACCUUGGUCGGGUCGCCGUCCUGCACGAUGAUGAGGUGGUAGGGCUGGAAGAAGGGCCGCCACAUCUCCAGGAAGUCGAGGUUGCGGAUCGUCGGGAUGACGAUGUCCAGCUCGUCCUUGAGCAGCGGCGUCGUCGGGGUGGCCAUCGCGGCGAGACGGGCGUCGGCGGAGGCAGGGACGGGCGGGCAGGCGGUGGUCGGCCGGGGUGCGGAGAGGUGUGGGAAACGGACAGGGUAUAUAAGGAAGGAGGAGGCCGGGCGGGGGUUUAGUGCGGGCCCGGGCCGGCUGGGCCGGACAGAGUGGACCGGCCGCGGCCGGUGUGGGCUGUUCCUUUUGCCUUUUUUCCCUUUGCUUGUCAUGGAAGUGAGCAGUAUGCAGUCAGUGUGGUCCUUGGUGAAUUAGUCAGACUUGCCAGAGUAUUCAGUCCAGACCCUACAACAAAAUGACAUGAUGUGAUCUCAUGUCUAUGAUUACUUUUUCAUUGCUGAGGAGUCUAAUCAGGUAACUUGAAAGUCCUCAGAAAAAAAACAGUUCUUGAUUUACCGUGGACAAGUCAGCCAGCAUUUCAUCUCGUCUCGUCUCAUCUUGUCUUGCCUACUUAAAAAGAAGUUAACGUUCUGUCGUCCGUCUCAUCUUUCGUCCAACUAUCCCCUUCCCGCGCCCACAAAACACUCACCCCACCUCACAUUCGAGUUUUUUUACCUCGCCCGAUUAUUCUCAAAUCAAAUCGGUAAGGCAAUUGUGCAUAUCAAUCGGGUGGGGUAACCUAUUGUAAUGACCUGAACUCUAGCAAGGAAUUGGAUAGCCGCAGGAGGGGAAUUUUGGGUGAGAGGACGAAGAAGCAGUAGGUGAGGGAGAGACGAAAGGGGAUGGGGAAUCAGUUAUCUCUUCAUUCAUGCCUGUCUCACUAGUACACAGGGGAUUAAGUACCCAACACACACGCACGCUGCUGGCCACAGACGGCCCAGUCAGCCAUGGGCUCAACCCAACCCAUACUACUCGUCUCUCCCUAAUCAGUCCACUGAUGCAGUAGCAUCAGGUGUGACAUGCUCCCCUCCUUGAGCGGAAGCAACAUCAUCCCAGCAAGGAGCCGUCGGGUACCGGUGACGCAGCACUGUGUAGUCCUCCCAUGUAGUGGAGUCUGGUGAUAGAGACGACCAUUGGACACGGACUUGUACGAUGGAUGCGAUCCCCUUCUUGACCAUGCGACGGUCCAGGAUUGCCACCGGCUGCAGAGGUGCGGCAGAGAGGUCAGGAGCGCGCGGCAGCUCGGCGAAGACAGGUGUGUAGUCCGGCGUGAAGGGCUUCAGCUGGGAGACGUGGAACACCGGGUGGAUGCGGCUGCCCGGUGGUAGCACCAGUUUGUAUGCCAUGGUGCCCACACGUUGCUCGAUGGUGAAGGGACUGAAGAAUUUGUACGCCAGCUUGGGGCACGGGCGGUUAGCCACCGUGGAUUGGACAUAUGGCUGGAGCUUGAGGAGUACCUGAUCACCCAUGACAAAAGAGUGCUCAGUGCGAUUCUUGUCUGCCUUCUGCUUGCAUCCGUUCUGGGCACGCGCCAGCUGCGCGCGGAGUCGAUCAUUGUGCUUGACCCAAUCCAGUUCUUCGCCUGCUUCCUCUGGCAGGUGCGCCCCAAGCGAUGGCAGGCCGCCCAGGUUCGGUUCUUUGCCAUACAGGGCUUGAAAUGGAGAUGUAUUGAGUGACAAGUGAUGCGAAGUAUUGUACCAGAAUUCUGCCGUGGGAAGCCACUUGCGCCAGUGCUUCGGGGUGUCAUGAACAGCACACCGAAGGUACAUUUCCAAACAUUGAUUGACCCGCUCACUUUGUCCGUCCGUCUGAGGAUGAUAAGCAGUUGAGUAACUGAGCUUGGUGCCAGUCGCGUCCAACAGGGCACGCCACAUGUUACUUGUGAAUAUUUUGUCAUGAUCUGAGAUGAUGGACAGAGGAACUCCGUGCAGUUUGAUAAUGUUAUCCCAGAAGGCGCGGGCCACGGAGGCUGCUGUGAACGGGUGACAGAGGGGUACAAAAUGAGCAUACUUGGUGAAGCGGUCGACGACAACCAUGAUCACUUCAUAGCCCUCGGACGUUGGCAGGCCCUCGAUAAAAUCCAUGGUGAGGUCUUGCCAUGGCUCGGUGGGUAUUGGCAGGGGCUAGAGCAGGCCUGGGGACUUGAUGUGCUCAUGUUUGGCAUGCUGACAUACUGAGCAUUGAUGAACAAAAUCCUCCACCGCUGGUUUGAGGCCUCGCCAGGUGAAAUGUUUCUUGACUCGCUGGUAAGUAGCCAUCACUCCAGAAUGCCUGCCCACAGCACUCGCGUGAAACGCACUGAUCAACUUUGUUUGGAGUGCAGUGUUUGCUCCUAUCCACAGUUUGUUGUGCAGGCGGAUGACCCCUUGCCUCAGUUCAUAACCUUGCUCAUCCGGGCUGGUGAUAGCAAGCCGUUGCAGCAAAUCUUGCACGGUAUCUGUCUCAUAGGAGUUAGCUACUUCUUGCAGCCACUGUGGUUGGCAGAUCGAAAGUGCGUCAAUAGACAGAAGGUGCCCGACGCGAGACAGAGCAUCCGCGGCGCCAUUGUCCGGGCCAUGCCUAUACUUGAAUGAGAAUUGGAGCCCAACCAUCUUCGACAUGGCCUUUCGCUGGAGCUCCGUUUCUAGCUGCUGAUCCCCCAGACUACAUAAGCUCUUGUGAUCUGUGACUAUCACAAAAGGACCUCGUUGCAGGUACGCCCUCCACUUGUCGACUGCCAUGGUGAUUGCGAGGAACUCCUUCUCGUAAAUUGAUAGGCGUUGGUUGCGCACGCCCAGAGCCUUGCUGAGGUAAGCGAAUGGGUGGCCGUCUUGGACCAGAACCGCCCCCACGCCGGUAUCACAUGCGUCUGUCUCAAUGGAGAACGGCCGGGAGAAAUCUGGUAAGGCCAAUACCGGCGUGCUCACCAUCGCAGUCUUGAGAUGCUCGAAUGCCGUUUGUGCUUGUUCAGUCCACACGAACCCUUUCUUGGUGAGCAGCUGCGUAAGGCUUGGCGAGGAUGCCGUAUCGAGGAACAAACUUGCGGUAGUAGCCCGUCAGGCCGAGGAACCCGCGGAGUUCCGUAGCAUUGGUUGGUGUUGGCCACGCCCGCAUUGCGCUGGUCUUGCUUGGAUCAGUCGCCACGCCCUCCCUUGAGAUGAUGUGGCCGAGGUACUCGAUGCUUGGUUGGGCAAAGGAGCACUUUGAUUCCUUGGCAUACAGCUGAUUUUGACGAAGAAUGCCAAACACCGUACGCAAGUGCUCCACGUGAUCCUGCAAGGUUUGGCUGAAAACAAGGAUGUCAUCUAAAAACGUGAUGACAAACUUACGAUUUGGCCCCAAGAAGACGGAGUUCAUGAGGCAUUGGUGUUGGAAAUAUGCCCUAGAGGCAAUAAUAAAAUGGUUAUUAUUAUAUUUCCUUGUUCAUGAUAAUUGUCUAUUGUUCAUGCUAUAAUUGUAUUAACUGGAAACGUAAUACAUGUGUGAAUACAUAGACCACAACAUGUCCCUAGUAAGCCUCUAGUUGACUAGCUCGUUGAUCAAUAGAUGGUUAUGGUUUCCUGACCAUGGACAUUGGAUGUCAUUGAUAACGGGAUCACAUCAUUACGAGAAUGAUGUGAUGGACAAGACCCAAUCCUAAGCAUAGCACAAGAUCGUGUAGUUCGUUUGCUAGAGCUUUUCUAAUGUCAAGUAUCAUUUCCUUAGACCAUGAGAUUGUGCAACUCCCGGAUACCGUAGGAAUGCUUUGGGUGUACCAAACGUCACAACGUAACUGGGUGGCUAUAAAGGUGCACUACAGGUAUCUCCGAAAGUGUCUGUUGGGUUGGCACGAAUCGAGACUGGGAUUUGUCACUCCGUAUGACGGAGAGGUAUCUCUGGGCCCACUCGGUAAUGCAUCAUCAUAAUGAGCUCAAUGUGACCAAGUGUUUGGUCACGGGAUCAUGCAUUACGGUACGAGUAAAGUGACUUGCCGGUAACGAGAUUGAACAAGGUAUUGGGAUAUUGACGAUCGAAUCUCGGGCAAGCAACAUACCGAUAGACAAAGGGAAUUGUAUACGGGAUUGAUUGAAUCCUCGACAUCGUGGUUCAUCCGAUGAGAUCAUCGAGGAGCAUGUGGGAGCCAACAUGGGUAUCCAGAUCCCGCUGUUGGUUAUUGAACGGAGAGUCGUCUCGGUCAUGUCUGCGUGUCUCUCGAACCCGUAGGGUCUACACACACUUAAGGUUCGGUGACGCUAGGGUUAUAGAGAUAUUAGUAUGCGGUAACCCGAAAGUUGUUCGGAGUCCCGGAUGAGAUCCCGGACGUCAUGAGGAGUUCCGAAAUGGUCCGGAGGAAAAGAUUUAUAUAUGGGAAGUCUUGUUUUGGUCGCCGGAAAAGUUUCGCGCAUUAUCGGUAUUGUACCGGGAGUGCCGAAAGGGGUACGGGGGUCCACCAAGGGGGUCCACCUGCCCCGGGGGGGCACAUGGGCUGUAGGGGUGUGCGCCUUGGCCUAUAUGGGCCAAGGACACGAGCCCCAAGAGGCCCAUGUGCCAAGAGAUAAGGGAAAGGGAGAGUCCUAAAAGGGGAAGGCACCUCCUAGGUGCCUUGGGGAGGAUGGACUCCUCCCUGGCCGCACCCUUCCUUGGAGGAAGGGCCAAGGCUGCGCCCCCCCUUCUCCCUUGCCCCUAUAUAUAUGUGGGGAGGGGAGGGCAGCAAAACGACAAGCCCUGGCGCCUCCCUCUCCCUCCCGUGACACAUCUCCCUCCUCCCGCAGCGCUUGGCGAAGCCCUGUUGGAUCCCCGCUGCUUCCACCACCACACCGUCGUGCUGCUGGAUCUCCAUCAACCUCUCCUCCCCCCUUGCUGGAUCAAGAAGGAGGAGACAUCGCUGCUCCGUACGUGUGUUGAACGCGGAGGUGCCGUCCGUUCGGCGCUAGGAUCAUCGGUGAUUUGGAUCACGACGAGUACGACUCCAUCAACCCCGUUCUCUUGAACGCUUCCGCUCGCGAUCUACAAGGGUAUGUAGAUGCACUCCUCUCUCUCGUUGCUAGAUGACUCCAUAGAUUGAUCUUGGUGAUGCGUAGAAUUUUUUUGAAUUAUUGCUACGUUCCCCAACAGUGGCAUCAUGAGCCAGGUCUAUGUGUAGAUUCUAUGCACGAGUAGAACACAAAGUAGUUGUGGGCGAUGAUUUGUUCAAUUUGCUUGCCGUUACUAGUCUUAUCUUGAUUCGGCGGCAAUGUGGGAUGAAGCGGCCCGGACCGACCUUACACGUACUCUUACGUGAGAUAGGUUCCACCGACUGACAUGCACUUGAUGCAUAAGGUGGCUAGCGGGUGUCUGUCUCUCCCACUUUAGUUGGAUCAGAUUCGAUGAAAAGGGUCCUUAUGAAGGGUAAAUAGCAAUUGGCAUAUCACCGUUGUGGCUUUUGCGUAGGUAAGAAACGUUCUUGCUAGAAACCCAUAGUAGCCACGUAAAACAUGCAACAACAAUUAGAAGACGUCUAACUUGUUUUUGCAGGGUAUGCUAUGUGAUGUGAUAUGGCCAAAAGGAUGUGAUGAAUUAUAUAUGUGAUGUAUGAGAUUGAUCAUGUUCUUGUAAUAGGAAUCACGACUUGCAUGUCGAUGAGUAUGACAACCGGCAGGAGCCAUAGGAGUUGUCUUAAUUUAUUGUAUGACCUGCGUGUCAAUGAUAACACCAUGUAAUUACUUUACUUUAUUGCUAACCGUUAGCCAUAGUAGUAGAAGUAAUAGUUGGCGAGACAACUUCAUGAAGACACAAUGAUGGAGAUCAUGGUGUCAUGCCGGUGACGAAGGUGAUCAUGCCGCGCCACGAAGAUGGAGAUCAAAAGGCGCAAGAUGAUAUUGGCCAUAUCAUGUCACUUUAUGAUUUGCAUGUGAUGUUUGUCAUGUUUACAUCUUAUUUGCUUAGAACGACGGUAGCAUAAAUAAGAUGAUCCCUCACUAAAAUUUCAAGAGAUGUGUUCCCCCUAACUGUGCACGGUUGCGAAGGUUCGUUGUUUCGAAGCACCACGUGAUGAUCGGGUGUGAUAGAUUCUAACGUUCGCAUACAACGGGUGUUGACGAGCCUAGCAUGUACAAACAUGGCCUCGGAACACAAGCAAAACACUUAGGUUGACUUGACGAGCCUAGCAUGUACAGACAUGGCCUCGGAACACAAGAGACCGAAAGGUCGAACAUGAGUCGUAUAGUAGAUACGAUCAACAUGGAGAUGUUCACCGAUGAUGACUAGUCCGUCUCACGUGAUGAUCGGACACGGCCUAGUCGAUUCGGAUCAUGUAUCACUUAGAUGACUAGAGGGGUGUCUAUCUAAGUGGGAGUUCAUUAAAUAAUCAGAUGAACUUAAUUAUCAUGAACAUAGUCAAAAGGUCUUUGCAAAUAAUGUCGUAGCUUACGCUUUAGUUCUACUAAGAUAUGUUGCUAGAGAAAAUUUAGUUGAAAGUUGAUAGUAGCAAUUAUGCGGACUGGGUCCGUAAACUGAGGAUUGUCCUCAUUGCUGCACAGAAGGCUUAUGUCCUUAAUGCACCGCUUGGUGUGCUGAACCUCGAGCGUCGUCUGUAGAUGUUACGGAACAUCUGACAUACACGUUUUGAUGACUACGUGAUAGUUCAGUGUGUGAUGCUAACAGUUUAAAAUUGUGGAACCAAAGACGGUUUUGAAACGUCGCAGAACAUAUGAGAUGUUCCAAAGACUGAAAUUGGGAUUUCAGACUAAUGCCCACGUCAAGAGGUAUGAGACCUCUGACAAGUUUCUUAAGCCUGCAAACUAAGGGAGAAAAGCUCAAUCGUUGAGCAUGUGCUCGGAUUGUCUGAGUACUACAAUCACUUGAAUCGAGUGGGAGUUAAUCUUCCAGAUGAGAUAGUGAUGGUUCUCCAUAGUCAUUGCCACCAAGCUAUUAGAGCUUCGUGAUGAACUAUAACAUAUCAGGGAUAGACAUGAUGAUCCUUGAGCAACUCGCGAUGUUUGACAUCGCGAAAAUAGAAAUCAAGAAGGAGCAUCAAUUGUUGAUGGUUAGUAAAACCACUAGUUUCUAGAAGGGCAAGGGCAAGAAGGGAUACUUCAUGAAACGGCAAAUCAGUUGCUGCUCUAGUGAAGAAACCCAAGGUUGAACCCAAACCUGAGACUAAGUGCUUCUGAGAUGAGGGGAACGGUCACUGAAGCAGAACUACCCUAGAUACUUGGUAGAUGGAAGGUUGGCAAGGUCGACAGAAGUAUAUUGGAUAUACAUUAUAUUAAUGUGUACUUUACUAGUACUCCUAGUAGCACCAGGGUAUUAGAUAUCGGUUCGGUUGCUAAGUGUUAGUAACUCGAAAUAAAAGCUGCGGAAUAAACGGAGACUAACUAAAGGUGAGAUGACGAUAUGUGUUGGAAGUGUUUCCAAGGUUGAUGUGAUCAAGCAUCGCAUGCUCCCUCUACCAUCGAGAUUGGUGUUAAACCUAAAUAAUUGUUAUUUGGUGUUUGCGUUGAGCAUAGACAUGAUUGGAUUAUGUUUAUCACAAUACGGUUAUUCAUUUAAGGAGAAUAAUGGUUACUCUUUUUAUUUGAAUAAUACCUUCAAUGGUCUUGCACCUAAAAUGAAUGGUUUAUUGAAUCUCGAUCGUAGUGAUACACAUGUUCAUGCCAAAAGAUAUAAGAUAGUAAUGAUAGUACCACAUACCUGUGGCACUGCUAUUUGAGUCAUAUUGGGAUAAAAUGCAUGAAGAAGCUCCAUGUUGAUGGAUCUUUGGACUCACUCGUUUUUGAAAAGUUUGAGACAUGCGAACCAUGUCUAUUGGUUUAUACGCAUGAAGAAACUCCAUGCAGAUGGAUCGUUUGGACUCACUUGAUUUUGAAUCACUUGAGACAUGCAAAUCAUACCACAUGGGCAAGAUGACUGAAAGGCCUCGUUUUCAGUAAGAUGGAACAAGAAAGCAACUUGUUGGAAGUAAUACAUUUUGAUGUGUGCAGUCCAAUGAGUGCUGAGGCAUGCAGUGGAUAUCGUUAUGUUCUUGCUUCACAGAUGAUUUGAGUAGAUGCUGAGUAUGUUUACUUGAUGAAACACAAGUCUGAAUUAUUGAAAGGUUCAAGUAAUUUCAGAGUGAAGUUGAAGAUCGUCGUGACAAGAGGAUAAAAUGUCUGUGAUAUGAUCAUAGAGAUGAAUAUCUGAGUUACGAGUUUGGCACACAAUUAAGAAAUUGUGGAAAUUGUUUCACGACUAAUAACGCCUGGAACACCAUAUUGUGAUGGUGUGUCCGAACAUCAUAACUGUACCCUAUUGGAUAUGGUGCAUACCAUGAUGUCUCUUAUCGAAUUACAACUAUCGUUUAUGGGUUAGGCAUUAGAGACAACCGCAUUCACUUUAAAUAGGGCACCACGCAAUUCCGUUGAGACGACACCGUAUGAACUAUGGUUUAGAGAAACCUAAGCUGUCGUUUCUUAAAAGUUUGGGGCUGCGACGCUUAUGUGAAAAAGUUUCAGGCUGAUAAGCUCGAACUCAAAGUGGAUAAAUGCAUCUUCAUAGAAUACCCAAAACAGUUGGGUAUACCUCCUAUUUCAGAUCUGGAAGCAAAAGUGAUUGUUUCUAGAAACGGGUCCUUUCUCGAGGAAAAGUUUCUCUCGAAAGAAUUGAGUGGGAGGAUGGUGGAGACUUGAUGAGGUCAUUGAACCGUCACUUCAACUAAUGUGUAGCAGGGCACAGGACGUUGUUCCUGUGGCACCUACACCAAUUGAAGUGGAAGCUUAUGAUAGUGAUCAUGAAACAUCAGAUCAAAUCACUACCAAACCUCAUAGGACGACAAGGAUGCGUACUACUUCAGAGUGGUACGUAAUCCUGUCUUGGAAGUCAUGUUGCUAGAAAACAAUGAACCUACGAGCUAUGGAGAAGCGAUGGUGGGCCCGGAUUCCGAUGAAUGGCUCGAGGCCAUAAAAUCCGAGAGGAUCCAUGUAUAAAAACAAAGUGUAGACUUUGGAAGAACUACUUGAUGGUCGUAAGGCUGUUGGGUGCAGAUGGAUUUUAAAAGGGAAGACAGACAAUGAUGGUAAGUAUCACCAUUAAGAAAGCUCGACUUGUCGUUAAGAUGUUUUCCGACAAGUUCAAGGAGUUGACUACGAUGAGAUUUUCUCACUCGUAGCUAUGCUAAGAGUCUGUUGGAAUUAUAUUAGCAGUUACUGCAUUAUUUAUGAAAUCUUGCAGAUAGGAUGUCAAAACAUUGUUUCCUCGACGAUUUUCUUGAGGAAAGGUUGUAUGUGAUACAACCAGAAGGUUUUGUCAAUCCUGAAAGAUGCUAACAAGUAUGCAAAGCUCCAGCAAUCCUUCUAAGGAUUGGAGUAAGCAUCUCGGAGUUGGAAUGUACGCUUUGAUGAGAUGAUCAAAGAUUUUGGGUUUAUACAAAGUUUAUGAGAAACUUGUAUUUCCAAAGAAGUGAGUGGGAGCACUAUAGAAUUUUUUGAUGAGUAUAUGUUGCUAACAUAUUGUUGAUCAGAAAUGAUGUAGAAUUUCUGGAAAGCAUCCAGGGUUAUUUGAAAAGUGUUUUUCAAUGGAAAACCUGGAUUAAGCUACUUGAACAUUGAGCAUCAAGAUCUAUAAGGAUAGAUCAAAAACGCUCAAUAGUACUUUCAAAUGAAUACAUACCGUGACAGGAUUUUGAAGGAGUUCAAAAUAGAUCAGCAAAGAAGUUCUUGGCUGUGUUACAAGGUGUGAGUAUUGAGUAAGACUCAAGACCUGACCAUGGCAGAAGAGAGAGAAAGGACGAAGGUCGUCCCCUAUGCUUUAGACGUAGGCUCUACAGUAUGCUAUGCUGUGUACCGCACCUGAAGUGUGCCUUGGCAUGAGUUAGUCAAGGGGUACAAUAGUGAUCCGGGAAUGGAUCACAUGACAGCGGUCGAACUUGUCCUUAGUAUCUAGUGGACUAAGGAAUUUUCUUGAUCAUGGAGGUGGUAAAAGAGUUCGUCGUAAAGGGUUACGUCGAUGCAAACUUUGACACUAAUCCGGAUGACUCUAAGUAGUAAACCGGAUUCGUAUAGUAGAGCAGUUAUUUGGAACAGCUCCUAGUAGCGCGUGGUAGUUGCAUCUACAAGAUGACAUAGAGAUUUGUAAAGCACACACGGAUCUGAAUGUUGCAGACUCGUUGACUAAAACCUCUCUCGUAAGCAUGACAUGAUCAAACCCUAGAACUCAUUGAGUGUUAAUCACAUGGUGAUGUGAACUAGAUUAUUGACUCUAGUAAACUCUUGGGUAUUAGUCACAUGGUGAUGUGAACUAGAUUAUUGACUCUAGUGCAGGUGGGAGACUGUUGGAAAUAUGCCCUAGAGGCAAUAAUAAAAUGGUUAUUAUUAUAUUUCCUUGUUCAUGAUAAUUGUCUAUUGUUCAUGCUAUAAUUGUAUUAACUGGAAACCGUAAUACAUGUGUGAAUACAUAGACCACAACAUGUCCCUAGUAAGCCUCUAGUUGACUAGCUCGUUGAUCAAUAGAUGGUUAUGGUUUCCUGACCAUGGACAUUGGAUGUCAUUGAUAAUGGGAUCACAUCAUUAGGAGAAUGAUGUGAUGGACAAGACCCAAUCCUAAGCAUAGCACAAGAUCGUGUAGUUCGUUUGCUAGAGCUUUUCUAAUGUCAAGUAUCAUUUCCUUAGACCAUGAGAUUGUGCAACUCCCGGAUACCGUAGGAAUGCUUUGGGUGUACCAAACGUCACAACGUAACUGGGUGGCUAUAAAGGUGCACUACAGGUAUCUCCGAAAGUGUCUGUUGGGUUGGCACGAAUCGAGACUGGGAUUUGUCACUCCGUAUGACGGAGAGGUAUCUCUGGGCCCACUCGGUAAUGCAUCAUCAUAAUGAGCUCAAUGUGACCAAGUGUUUGGUCAUGGGAUCAUGCAUUACGGUACGAGUAAAGUGACUUGCCGGUAACGAGAUUGAACAAGGUAUUGGGAUAUCGACGAUCGAAUCUCGGGCAAGUAACAUACCGAUAGACAAAGGGAAUUGUAUACAGGAUUGAUUGAAUCCUCGACAUCGUGGUUCAUCCGAUGAGAUCAUCGAGGAGCAUGUGGGAGCCAACAUGGGUAUCCAGAUCCCGCUGUUGGUUAUUGACCGGAGAGUCGUCUCGGUCAUGUCUGCGUGUCUCCCGAACCCGUAGGGUCUACACACUUAAGGUUCGGUGACGCUAGGGUUAUAGAGAUAUUAGUAUGCGGUAACCCGAAAGUUGUUCGGAGUCCUGGAUGAGAUCCCGGACGUCAUGAGGAGUUCCGGAAUGGUCCAGAGGUAAAGAUUUAUAUAUGGGAAGUCUUGUUUUGGUCGCCGGAAAAGUUUCGCGCAUUAUCGGUAUUGUACCGGGAGUGCCGAAAGGGGUCCGGGGGUCCACCAAGGGGGUCCACCUGCCCCGGGGGGCCACAUGGGCUGUAGGGGUGUGCGCCUUGGCCUAUAUGGGCCAAGGGCACCAGCCCCAAGAGGCCCAUGCGCCAAGAGAUAAGGGAAAGGGAGAGUCCUAAAAGGGGAAGGCACCUCCUAGGUGCCUUGGGGAGGAUGGACUCCUCCCUGGCCGCACCCUUCCUUGGAGGAAGGGCCAAGGCUGCGCCCCCUUCUCCCUUGCCCCUAUAUAUAUAUGUGGGGAGGGGGAGGGCAGCAAAACGACAAGCCCCGGCGCCUCCCUCUCCCUCCCGUGACACAUCUCCCUCCUCCCGCAGCGCUUGGCGAAGCCCUGUUGGAUCCCCGCUGCUUCCACCACCACGCCGUCGUGCUGCUGGAUCUCCAUCAACCUCUCCUCCCCCCUUGCUGGAUCAAGAAGGAGGAGACGUCGCUGCUCCGUACGUGUGUUGAACGCGGAGGUGCCGUCCGUUCGGCGCUAGGAUCAUCGGUGAUUUGGAUCACGACGAGUACGACUCCAUCAACCCCGUUCUCUUGAACGCUUUCGCUCGUGAUCUACAAGGGUAUGUAGAUGCACUCCUCUCUCUCGUUGCUAGAUGACUCCAUAGAUUGAUCUUGGUGAUGCGUAGAUUUUUUUUGAAUUAUUGCUACGUUCCCCAACAAUUGGAAGGUUGGUGGUCCGUUUGUGACACCAAAUGGCAUCACUCUGAAUUGAAAAUGCCCAUGGUGAGUCUUGAAAGCUGUUUUCUCCUCAUCUCCUUCCCGCAUUCGGAUUUGAUGGUAUCCCGCACGGAGAUCAACCUUGGAGAAGAAUGCUGCAUCGGCCAGCUCAUCCAACAAUUCAUCGAUUACGGGCAGGGGAAACUUGUUCUUGAUGGUGAUCAUGUUGAGACGCCGAUAAUCCACACAAAAUCACCAUGUCCCAUCUUUUUUCUUCACUAAGAGGACCGGAGCCGCAAAGGGACUCAUACUGUGUGUGAUCAAUCCCGUGUGCAACAUCUCGGUGACUUGCCGUUCUAUUUUGUCCUUCUGUAAGGGAGAAUAACAAUAUGGUCUUGAGUUGAUGGGCGCUGCGCCUGGUUCCAGACUGAUUGCAUGAUCAUACUGUCGGUGAGGUGGAAGCUCCGUUGGUUCUGCAAAGACAUCUCUGAAGUCUGUCAAUACUUGCUGAAUGAUUGGGGGUACAGGUUGACCACUGCUAUCAGGUGGCUGGGAGUGAAUCUCUAGUUGGGCAGCUCCCCAAAUUUCAUUCUCUUCCUGCAUUUGCCACAAAGAAGCUGCAUCCAGGGCCGUUAUCGCCGGUUAGUCCUCGGUUCUGACGCCAGCCAACAGAAUCGUGUUUCCAUGCUUGGUGAACCGCAUUGUUUUCAAUCCCCAAUCGCACUGCAUUGGGCUGUGGCACGCCAGCCAAUCCACCCCAAGGACUGCAUCAUACACUCCCAAGUCCAGGACUCGCAUAUCUGUGCAAAAUUCAUGACCAUGGGUGUGCCACUUGAGCUGGGGCACCACUUCUGUGCAUGUCAGCUGCUGCCCAUUGGCGACACGCACUGCGAUCAGAGAAAUGCUCGUGGUGGCGGCGCCAAUGCGUUGAGCAAAUGCAGUGUUGACAAACGUAUGUGUGCUGCCGGAAUCGACCAACAGAAGCAUGGUCUGAUUGCCGACAGUUGCUCUUAGCCUGAUCGUAUCCGCCGCUUCAGUCCCCUCUACAGCAUGGGCAGACAGGAGACAACAGGUAGGGUUUGGCAGUGCUGGUUCAUCAAGUAGUUCCAACGCUCGCACUGCCUCAUCGGAAAGCACCUCGCCAUGUUCUCCGACUUCAAUGGUAAGUAAUUAUGCUGUACGCCGACACUGAUGCUCCCUCGAGUACUUGUCCCCAUAGCGAAAACAGAGUCCGUGUUGUCGGCGGUAGUCACGAAGCUGCCGUUCACGACCAAAAUCAUCAGUCGCUGGGCGCGGCGCGGGUGCCGCGCGUGGUGCAGGAACUGCAGGUGGCACCGGAGGUGGUGGUUUGCCUAGAGCAGCUGGCACCGACACGGUUGGAGGAGGGCGCCCCGGGUUGGUGAUGUGAUAGCGUGGACAUUGCUGAUCCAGCUCCUCCUCUUGGAUGCGGGCGAAGACUGUUGCUCGCGUGAUACUGUUGGGAGCUUGAAUGCGCACAGCAGCACGCAGUUCAUCCUUGAGGCCCAGCAAAAACUGAGUGACGAAGAACUUGGUGCUGAGAGAGGCGUCCAAGGCCAGCAAAUUGUACAUAUACACUUCGAAUUGUUGCUUGUACUCUGUAACACUGCCCGUCUGUCAAAGCUGUAGUAAGUUGUGCAUCAACGAUUCGAACUCCUCUGGGCCAAAUUCUUCUUCAAUCGCCUGACGAAACAUCUCCCAAGAGAUCAUGGCAUGUUGCUGCCGAUACGCUCGAAGCCAGAGUGCCGCAUGUCCGUCAACAUACAGCGCGGCCGUCGCCACCCAGCUGUGUUGUGGCACCCGAUAGAGCUCGAAAUACGCGAGACAUCGAUCGAGCCAUACCCGAGGUAAUUCGCCAUCGAAACGGGGGAAAUUGUGCUUGGGCGGCUUGGUGUACGACUCUUCACGGAGCGGCAGCAGAGGUUGUUGGUGGCGAACGGAGUCUGGGCGAGCCAACAGAGGUGGCCCUUCGUUGGUGAGUCGCGCGAAGGGGGCGGUGGCGUUGAGGGCCUGUGGAAUCGGAAGUGCGCUCGGCGGCGGCGCGACACGGGACUCCGGAGAGGGAGUUUGCAGGUGCGGUUGCACAAGUGGAGGAUCUCCUGGACGCGGUGCUGCGGUGCCCAACGCGAACGACAAGGGAUCGACGACAUGGGAAGCCGUGGACGGCGUUGACGAGGCGGAGGGAGAAGUGCCUUGCGCACGUCGUCGACCUCGGCCUGGGUAAGGCCGAUCUGCUUGGAUAGGUUCUGCAGCUCCUUGGAGACAUGCGUGUUGAAGGCGGCUUGUUCCUCUGCACGUUUGUCCGCCACCAGCUUCUCGUCAUCGAAACGGGAGAGCAGCUUCUCCAUGAGGGCCGUGAGGUUCGCUGUUUGCUCCCCCAUCGCGGCGAUGAUCUGCCGGGUCUGCACCGAAGGCUUGGACGGCGCCGUCGCACCCGCUCCGAGCAGAUCGAACCCCACACAGGAUUUCGAGCAAUUUCACCGAAGCAAAAUCGCACCUGAUGUGGUGGAUGUUACCAAUCUGGCCAAGAGAUUAUGGGGGCGGCUCCGAAAAAAAAAUCGCGGAAGAAUUUGCUGGCUCUGAGAUACCAAAUUGUAAUGACCUGAACUCUAGCAAGGAAUUGGAUAGCCGCAGGAGGGGAAUUUUGGGUGAGAGGAGGAAGAAGCAGUAGGUGAGGGAGAGACGAAAGGGGGUGGGGAAUCAGUUAUCUCUUCAUUCAUGCCUGUCUCACUAGUACAAAGGGGAUUAAGUACCCAACACACACGCACGCUGCUGGCCAUAGACGGCUCAGUCAGCCAUGGGCUCAGCCCAACCCAUACUACUCGUCUCUCCCUAAUCAGUCCACUGAUGCAGUAGCAUCAGGUGUGACACCUAUGUUCUGUUUGCUAACUAAUAAAUCAUGACAAAUUUAUUUACAGUGGUCUAAAAUUUUACAUCUCUCAAAAAUAACUUAACCUUCUAGUAUUUCUCACGAAGCAAUCACGGUGAUUUAGUUUCCUGUUUUGCAACUACAGUUUAUUUUUACAUUCCAGAGAGCAAUCACAGUGCGAACCAAUCUGUGGUUGGAUGGUUAGAGGGACUGUGGUAUCCCCAGCCCACCAGGCUUCAACUCCUGGUGCUCGCAUUUAUUUCUGGAUUUAUUUCAGGAUUUCGGGCGAUGCGCAUUCAGUGGAGACUUCAUAAAUUUUAAGAUGAUAUGCCGGCUCAGUCUUUCGGAGGUGCUCAUAGGGGUAGGGUGUGCGUGUGUGCAUUCAUAGGGGUGAGUGUAUGUACGUGUAUAUGAGCGCUUGCGUUUGUACUGUGUUCAAAAAAGGGAGAGAGAGCAAUCACAGUAAUAUACAACGGGCAUGGUUUACAUAUAUUUCAUUAUACCUCGGUGGCCCAACCUUCCCUCUCCACGUAGCCUCCAUGCCAACUCCUCAUCAAAAAAAGUAGCCUCCAAGCCAUGCGUUGUCACCAUUGUCAGCGCAUGGCCGAUGCGCCUGCCGCACCGCCGGCCCUGCACCUUGACCCGGCGCUCUCCCUAUAGUGGCUCACCACGUCACCAUGCUCGCCACCAACCCUAUCAUAGCGCGGAGGCCCGCUGUCAUGCAGAUGGCACGAGUGCCUAUGGCCACUUCGGCGAUCAUCAGCAAGUAGUUGCGGUCCUCGCGUUCCUCUGUAGUAGAUCAAGCUCCAAGCGUGUAGUCGCUAGCAAGCCAAUAGAUAGUCAACGCCGCCUCUGUCUAGUUUGAUCCGAAAAAUCGGGGGAAAUCAUUGCUAGGGUUUCUGUUGGGAUGGUUUCGUUCCUCCCAUGAUAGAUCUGGAUCGUCCCUCAGAUCGGUCAUUUGAGCGGAGCACGGACAACGGUAGGACCAAAUUGGGCUCAAUUCGAUAAUGGGCUCCGUCCCAGGUUGUUUUAUCCCCUUAAAAAUUUACCAUUAUCAUUAAAGGGAUUUUCGCAACUGGGUCAAAAAAUUUAAUAGGCUUCAAUAUGUCGAUUUAAGUUUUAGGCAUUUUUUCAUUAUCAUUAAAGGGAUUUUCGUAACUGGGUCUAAAAAAUUAAUAGGCUUCAAUGUGUCAAUUUAAGUUUUAGGCAUUUUUUAUUGCAGUGCACUUUAUUACCGUUUAAGGUUUUAUAAUAAUGCAAAUGCACGCUUAAUAAUUUGAAAUAGCCAGUGGACAUAUUAUCUAUGCAUGAGUGGUCGCCCGUAGCACGGGCAUUCAUCUAGUACAAUACCCAAAAAAUGCCAAAUCUGCCGGAUGUUUGCGUGCAGAGAAAAGUUACGGGGAUUUUACUUUAAAACAAUCCCAUAACUUUAGCGUCGUGCACCUUGAGUGCCAGUGCGAUUACUUGAAGAUCACACAUUACAAGGGAGGGCGCACCUUUCCUCCUCUGUACGUUACAGCACGGAAGAGCUUUCAAGUCAAUACGUUACAGCAGCAUCACGCCGGAAAGAGAUGCUUGUGUACUCGAGAGAGAGCAUCUUCGCUGGAUGUGGCGGUAGUAGUAGUACGCGCUAGUUAUUGAAAUGGUUUCUUUGUGAGAUCCGACGUACGCCGGAGAUCAGGUUACUUAUGUUGAGUGCGUUGAGGAAUCGUGCUGCGAUUCUCAAUUUCUCGAUCGGGGACUCUUCCCUUUGCUCAUCUUACACGUUCGUGAUCGCCGAUGCUAGUAGUGCACUUGACCAGUAGUUUUUUUAAACACAGUAUAGAUGCAAGUGUUUAUAUAUACGUGCAUACACUCAUUUCUAUGAACAUGCACGUGUACAUCUUAUCCAUAUGAGCACAUUUAAGAGACUGGGCCAGUAUUAUCAUCUUGAGAUUUUACGAAAUCACCGUAGGCGCCCCGUACUCAACGGGAACAUCUUCCUUCACUGAACACAUGUCGCCAGAAAUUCUGAAAUAAAUCUAAUAAAUGCGAGCACCAAGACUUGAACCCUGAUGGGCUGGGGAUACGACUGUCCACCUAACCAUCCCAACCACAGGUUGGUUCGCCACUUGACCAGUACUUAGGGCAUCUACAGACGAGCGCCCCAAACCCUCCUCACGAUUUUUAGACCCAGGCGGACACCUCAAGCAGGCCUCAAAAGCCCGGGCUGACCGGCACCCCUCAUAUCCAGCCCAAAUAUGGGGCGGAUAUGGGGGCGCCCAGGCACGACCGCCACGUUGGACCCGACCCACGCUGGCCCACCCGACCCCACAUAUAUUCGUCUCCAUCCGCUUGCCGAAGCAAACCCUAGCCACUCCACUCCACUCCGCCACCCGAGCUCACUUGCGGCGGUAUUCCGGCCUUCUCCGCCAUGGUAGGCAGCGGAUCGGAUUUCGACCAGUCCGGGUCCGUUGACUGGGUUAUCAUCCCAUGCUGGUUGGAGAAGGCAAUGGCAGUCUGCAUUGCACUCCACCGCUCCUGGUAGGACAUCGCCCGACCGAAGGACGGAUCGGUCCGCCGCGACUCCAUAGCUUCGGCUCACCAGGCACUCGGGUCCUCCGGGGCUGGAUCCUCACGGUCCCGGCAGCCGGAAUCCCUCUCCUUCCCCAUCACUGGCCGGGCAGACUAUGAGCCCCAUCGAGACUGGGCGGCUCACUGUGGGAAGGAGAGGAUAAGGGUUGUCGAGGCCCGUAUCGCGGCGGAAAUGGCGGCGGCGGAGGCGCGGGUGGCCGCAGAGGAGGAAGCCAUCCAUGCCCGCAUUGUGAAGAAACAGCAGCAGAGGAAUAUGCGUGCCCUCGCCUGAGAGCAGAAUCAGGCGGUCCGUGCCAUGGCCGGACUGCCAUCGAAGAAGGAGAAGGCGGAUAGUGACGGCCACGAGCAGAUCCGGCUCGAUCCGUACUGCGUCUUCGCCCGGUACUUCUGCGAGAAGGACGGCAAGGGCGCCGGGAAGGGCAAGGGCAGCCGUCGAUGAACUGCACAAUGGCCAAACAUGCCAAAUUUUGGUAGUCCGAUGGCAGGUUUACUGUAGUGUGAUGGAGUAGCCAGACGAUGUGUGUGCGUCCACGUAGUUGCAUGAGUUUGUAUGGAUUUGAGAUAUGGUAAUAGAGGUAUCCGGAUGUGGAUUACGUUAUUUGAGGGGUGCCCGGUCAGUGCCCGCGGACGCGCUCGGGCGUGUCCGCAGGCGUUUGAGGGGCCGGAUUUGCUGAGUCCGGCUGUAGAUGCUCUUAUGCUGACGAAAUGACGAGGGCGGGGUUGAGGACAAGUUUAACGUACCGUCACCAGCUAGCAUAGGGCUCCCUGAGUCCUUGUACCCUUCGCUUCUGUAUCGGGCGCACAUGGCGGUAGGGUUUUCCCUUGCCUCCUGCUGCUGCCGGUCUGCCUCGUAUCUUAUGCCUACAGAGCCAUGGAGGUGUGUGAAGGAAAUAUGCCCUAGAGGCAAUAAUAAAGUUGUUUAUUUAUAUUUCCUUAUAUCAUGAUAAAUGUUUAUUAUUCAUGCUAGAAUUGUAUUAACCAGAAACUUAGUACAUGUGUGAAUACAUAGACAAACAGAGUGUCACUAGUAUGCCUCUACUUGACUAGCUCGUUGAUCAAACAUGGUUAAGUUUCCUAGCCAUAGACAUGAGUUGUCAUUUGAUGAACGGGAUCACAUCAUUAGAGAAUGAUGUGAUUGACAAGACCCAUCCGUUAGCCUAGCACUAUGAUCAUUUAGUUUAUUGCAAUUGCUUUCUUCAUGACCUAUACAUGUUCCUAUGACUAUGAGAUUAUGCAACUCCCGAAUACCGGAGGAACACUUAGUGUGCUAUCAAAUGUCACAACAUACCUGGGUGGUUAUAAAGAUGCUCUACAGGUGUCUACGAUGGUCUUUGUUGAGUUGGCAUAGAUCGAGAUUGGGAUUUGUCACUCUGAUUGUCGGACAGGUAUCUCUGGGCCCUCUCGGUAAUGCACAUCACCAUAAGCCUUGCAAGUGUGACGCCCCCGAUUCGACCGUACACUAAUCAUACACGCAAAUGUGUACGACCAAGAUCAGGGACUCACGGGAAGAUAUCACAACACAACUCUAGACACAAAUUGAAAUAAUACAAGCUUCAUAUUACAAGCCAGGGGCCUCGAGGGCUCGAAUACAAGCUUGAUACACAAGAGUCAGCGGAAGCAACAAUAUCUGAGUACAAACAUAAGUUAGACAAGUUUGCCUUAUGAAGGCAAGCACAAAAACAACAACGAUCGAAGAGGCAAGGCCUCCUGCCUGGGACCUCCUAACUACUCCUGGUCUUCGGCGGCCUCCAUGUAGUAGUAGGCACCCUCGGGGUGGUAGUAGUAGUCGACUGGGGUGGCAUCUGGCUCCUGGGCGCCACCAUCUGGUUGCAUCAACCGUAAAGAAGAAAUAAGGGGGAAAGGGGUAGCAAAGCAACCGUGAGUACUCAUCCAAAGUACUCGCAAGCAUCAGAUCUAUACUAAGUAUGCAUUGGUAUCAAAUGGAAGGGCUGUAUCUGUGGACUGAACUGCAGAAUGCCAGAAUAGAGGGGAAGGCCUAGCCUAUCGAAGACUAGCAUCUUCAAGCAGCUCCAAGCAUCUUGCAGCAUGUAGAAGAGUAAAGAAUAGCAGUUUAUAUUUAACAAACAUGUUGUAGCAUUAACGCCCAGAGAUCCUUCCUCGACUCCCUACGAGAAAGCAAUUCCGGAGCCACAUAUCCAUCAUAUCAAGUAUCCAUUUCUAGUUGUAUAAGAUCAGGAUACAAGUCUGAACGUCCAUUACCGUGGACACGGUAUUCGAAUAUAUAUCUUCCCUGCAGGGGUGCACCACGUUUUCCAACACGCUCGAUCACUCUGGCCGGACACACUUUUCUGGGUCAAUGCCCGGCCUCGGAAGAUCAACACUUCGUAACCCUACCUAGGCUCAGCAGAGAGGUCCCCGCCGGUCUACAUCCUAAGCACUCCGGGGUCUAGGCCCAUCGCCCGUUGCACUCCAGAUUGUUGCGCGCAGGGCGGAUCCAGGCUGCCCGGAUGGCGCCGGCCCAGCUGUGCCGCGAUGCUGAACUGGACGUCUGACAAAGCUUCGGCUGAUACUGCGACGUCGAGGCCCAUAACUAUUCUCACGUGGUGAUUAGUGCGUAAAGGCCAAAGGCCAAUUCAGAACAAAUACCCAAACCUGUUAGUGCAUUAUUAAAAGAAGUGACGGCUGUCGGGACAAGUCCGGAGCUAUCACCCCCUCCCGGGAGAUAUCGCUAAAUAGCCAGCCGCCACCGUCACAUCGCACGGGUGCUCUCCGGGCCCGCCCGGCUUUCACCAAUGUCUCAAGUAAAGUCAAGGUAACUGUGUGUCCAGACAUCAAGGGGAAAACCCGAGGAAUCACCCCCGGUGGAUUCCACUCAAUGUAAUCAUCAAGGUGAACGUAAGAGGGACCACCCUCGAGGUUCACACUUGAGGUGUUGCACGAUAGAGCCGUAUCGGGAAUGGUGAAAGAGGAACCACCCCCGUUGACCAUGACCGAAUAGCUACAGUACAGAAUUAUCAUCAGGAGUGCAUUAUGAGGGAUCACCCUCGGCACUCGAUAGUAGCUCUGCUGAGUCGAGCAACAAAAGGGGCGUGAUGUGAUGUGAGGUGUCAGGCUCUGGUCGUCGAUCACGUUGAUCGAGUCGUCGAUGAUGAAGCAGGGGCAACAAGGACAAGGUGGGGGUCACUGAUGGAUCACUAACCAACCUAUACUAAGCAGUUUAGGAUAAGCAUGUAGGUAACAAUAGCAGGUACAAAAGCAAGCUAUGCAUCAGAAUAGGAGCAAUCAAAUAUAGUAGAAAAAUCUAAUGCAAGCAUGAGAUAGUGGAAUGGGCGAUAUCGGGAUGAUCAAAGGGGGGGCUUGCCUAGAAGCUCCGCUGAAAGGGAAGAAGGGGUCGUCUGUGACGUAGUCGAUCACAGCGGCAUCGGCAGCUGUCUCGGGGUCUACCGGAGAGAAGAGGGGGAAGAAACAGUAAAUACAUAGCAAGCGAGUGCAUAACAGGAAACCGGGCAGAGCUAGACGUGUUCUAACGCGGUACUACACGUUACCGGUGAAAGGGAUAACAUCCGGGGAAGUUUUCCCGAAGUUAGGCAUUUUCGGACAGAAGAACCGGAGGGGAAAAGUUUGAUGUUCUCUAUGCUAGGGGCAUGUGACAGAUGAACGAAGAGCGUAUUCGGAUUCCUCUCGUCGUUCUAAGCAACUUUCAUGUAUAAAACUUUUUCAUCCGAGCUAUGGUUAUUUUUCUACGAUUUUUCAAAGUUUUAUUGAAUUUCCAAAUUACUGGAUUUAAUUUAAUUUGAAAAACAUUUAAAUAAUAAAUGCUAUGGGUACACAGAAGUGUUCUGUGUACCCAACAUUAAGCACAUGUGGCCGACAGAUGGGGCCAGGGGGGCAGUUGACCUAGUCAACAGAGACUAGUCAACUAGUGAAUAGUAGGAGUGGGUCCACAUGUCAUUGACUGUUCUUACUAACUACAGAUUUAAUAGCUAGUUAAUUAAGUUAAUUAACUUUUUAAUUAAUUAACUAACUAAUUUAUUAAUUAUUAUUUUUAAAAUCUUCUUUUUUUUGGGGGGGGGUGGGCGCUNNNNNNNNNNNNNNNNNNNNNNNNNNNNNNNNNNNNNNNNNNNNNNNNNNNNNNNNNNNNNNNNNNNNNNNNNNNNNNNNNNNNNNNNNNNNNNNNNNNNNNNNNNNNNNNNNNNNNNNNNNNNNNNNNNNNNNNNNNNNNNNNNNNNNNNNNNNNNNNNNNNNNNNNNNNNNNNNNNNNNNNNNNNNNNNNNNNNNNNNNNNNNNNNNNNNNNNNNNNNNNNNNNNNNNNNNNNNNNNNNNNNNNNNNNNNNNNNNNNNNNNNNNNNNNNNNNNNNNNNNNNNNNNNNNNNNNNNNNNNNNNNNNNNNNNNNNNNNNNNNNNNNNNNNNNNNNNNNNNNNNNNNNNNNNNNNNNNNNNNNNNNNNNNNNNNNNNNNNNNNNNNNNNNNNNNNNNNNNNNNNNNNNNNNNNNNNNNNNNNNNNNNNNNNNNNNNNNNNNNNNNNNNNNNNNNNNNNNNNNNNNNNNNNNNNNNNNNNNNNNNNNNNNNNNNNNNNNNNNNNNNNNNNNNNNNNNNNNNNNNNNNNNNNNNNNNNNNNNNNNNNNNNNNNNNNNNNNNNNNNNNNNNNNNNNNNNNNNNNNNNNNNNNNNNNNNNNNNNNNNNNNNNNNNNNNNNNNNNNNNNNNNNNNNNNNNNNNNNNNNNNNNNNNNNNNNNNNNNNNNNNNNNNNNNNNNNNNNNNNNNNNNNNNNNNNNNNNNNNNNNNNNNNNNNNNNNNNNNNNNNNNNNNNNNNNNNNNNNNNNNNNNNNNNNNNNNNNNNNNNNNNNNNNNNNNNNNNNNNNNNNNNNNNNNNNNNNNNNNNNNNNNNNNNNNNNNNNNNNNNNNNNNNNNNNNNNNNNNNNNCUGCGGGCUCCGACGAGCGCGCGUGGGAGGCGAAGGCGGGCGUGCGUGAGCAGGAGCUCAGACGAGCUGCUGGCGGCGACGGCGGUUAGCAGCACGAGCUGCUGGAGCGAGGGAGGGCGCCGGUGCGGGGCUGACGAGCGGGCACCGGGCAUGGGCGCGGUGGUGGCUGGCGGAGCCGGGUGAGGCGGCAGCUGCGGCAAGGACCGCGGGGUCAAGCGGCGCGCAGCGGGGCAGGGGGCUGCGUGGCCACAGAGCGACGAUGGAGCAGGGGCAGCGUCGAGCUACGGCUACGGCAUACGUCGAGGAGCAGAAGGGAAAGCGGAUGGACGGGGUGCUCACCUAGGAGCACACGACGGCUCGGCGGGAGGUUUAGGAGCAGCAGGCGGUCGGAGCUGGCGACGGCGACCGGCGAGGCGGAGCUGGACGAAGAGCUCGAUCCCGACGAUGGAGGGGGGGUCCGAGCUCGAUCUUGUGGACGGGGAGGACGCAGUUGAUGACAUCGGAGCAUCAUGACACCAAGAGGCGGCGAGAGGAGCUCGGUGGCCACGCCUACGGCGGGGCAUGGCGACGGUGGCUGCAGGUGUGGGCGGAUCUGAGCGAGGGAGCUCAGGGGGAGGGGAAUGGGGUAGCUAGGGUUUCGGGGAGGGAGAGAGGGGCGUCCAGGGAGGUGCCUUGUAGCCGUCGGGGAGGCGGGGAUUGCUGCCACGCACGGCACGGCCGGCGGAUUGCCGCCAGGGCCCCCUGUCCCCUGUAGCGAGAGGAACAGGACAAGUGGGGGUGGGCUGGGGCUUUUGUAUAGCUAGCUGGGCCGGGGAAGGGUUUGGCCCGGGGAGGCAAUGGGAUUUGCUUUGGCUUUUAUUUAUAUUUUUUUUGUUUCUGUUUUCUUUAACCUUCACGGUAUUUUAGUUUAAGUAGAAUACAAAACUAGUUUCUAAAUUAGUACUAUUAUUUAUAACUCUGCCAAAAAAAGUUUGGGACUCAAAUAAAUUAGUUUGAUAUUCUACAAAUUAUAAAAGGCAUUUAUAUAAUCGUUUAAGCCACUGUUUUAUUCACAAAAGGGCAUUGAAAUAUUGUACAAAAGUGUUUGGUCACCACCAUAAUUAGUUAUGGAAUAUUUGCCACACUUUGAACAUUUUAUUUUGCAAGUUUGAGAAACUUGAAUUUUAGACUUUAAUAUGAAUUUUAAUUUGCAUUACGAUUCGGAUCAACCGAGGAUUAGCAACAGUAAGAGUGGUGACAUGGCACCAUUAACGAGGGAUUACUGUAGCUUAAUUAUCCGGGCGUCACAGCAAGCAAUGUGACUAAUGAGUUAGUUGCGGGAUGAUGCAUUACAGAACGAGUAAAGAGACUUGUCGGUAACGAGAUUGAACUACGUAUGAUGAUACUGACGAUCGAAUCUCGGGAAGUAACAUACCGAUGACAAAGGGAACAACGUAUGUUGUUAUGCGGUUUGACCGAUAAAGAUCUUCGUAGAAUAUGUAGGAACCAAUAUGAGCAUCCAGGUUCCGCUAUUGGUUGUUGACCGGAGAUGAGUCUCGGUCAUGUCUACAUAGUUUUCGAACCCGUAGGGUCCGCACGCUUAAUGUUCGAUGACGAUAUGUAUUAUAAGAUGAUCUCUCACUAAAUUUCAAGGUAUAAGUGUUCUCCCUGAGUAUGCACCGUUGUGCAGUUCGUCGUGCCGAGACACCACGUGAUGAUCGGGUGUGAUAAGUUCUAAGUUCACAUACAAUGGGUGCAAGCCAGUUUUGCACACGCAGAAUACUCGGGUUAAACUUGACGAGCCUAGCAUAUGUAGAUAUAGCCUCGGAACACUGAGACCGAAAGGUCGAGCGUGAAUCAUAUAGUAGAUAUGAUCAACAUAGUGAUGUUCACCAUUGAAAACUACUCCAUCUCACGUGAUGAUCGGACAUGGUUUAGUUGAUUUGGAUCACGUGAUCAGUUAGAUGAUAAGAGGGAUGUCUAUCUAAGUGGGAGUUCUUAAGUAAUAUGAUUAAUUGAACUUUAAUUUAUCAUGAACUUAUUACCUGAUAGUAUUUUGCAUGUCUAUGUUGUUGUAGAUCAAUGGCCCGUGCUACUGUUCCUUUGAAUUUUAGUGCGUUCCUAGAGAAAGCUAAGUUGAAAGAUGAUGGUAGCAACUACACGGACUGGGUCGGUAACUUGAGCAUUAUCCUCAUUGCUGCAUAGAAAAAUUACGUCCCAGAAGCACCGCUAGGUGCCAGGCCUGCUGCAGAUGCUGCUGAUGAUGUUAAGAACGUCUGGCAGAGUAAAGCUAAUGACUACUCGAUAGUUCAGUGUGCCAUGCUUUACGGCUUAGAACCAGGACUUCAACGAUGUUUUGAACAUCAUGGAGCAUAUGAGAUGUUCCAGGAGUUGAAGUUCAUAUUUCAAGCAAUGACCGGAUUGAGAGAUAUGAAGUCUCCAAUAAGUUCUACAGCUGCAAAAUGGAGGAGAAUAGUUCUGUCAGUGAACAUAUACUCAGAAUGUCUGGGUACCGCAACCACUUGACUCAACUGGGAGUUAAUCUUCCUGGUGAUAGUGUCAUUGACAGAGUUCUUCAAUCACUGCCACCAAGCUACAAAAGCUUCAUGAUGAACUAUAAUAUGCAAGGGAUGGAUAAGACAAUUCCCGAGCUCUUCGUAAUGCUAAAGGCUGCGGAGGUAGAAAUCAAGAAGGAGCAUCAAGUGUUGAUGGUCAAUAAGACCACCAGUUUCAAGAAAAAAGGGUAAAGGGAAGAAGGGGAACUUCAAGAAGAACGACAAGCAAGUUGUUGCUCAAGUGAAGAAGCCCAAGUCCGGACCUAAGCCUGAGACUGAGUGCUUCUACUACAAAGGGACAGGUCACUGGAAGCGGAACUGCCCCAAGUAUUUGGCGGAUAAGAAGGAUGUCAAAGCGAAAGGUAUAUUUGAUAUACAUGUUAUUGAUGUGUACUCAACUAAUGCUCAUAGUAGCGCUGGGGUAUUUGAUAUUGGUUCUGUUGCUCAUAUUUGCAACUCGAAACAGGGGCUACGGAUUAAGCGAAGAUUGGCUAAGGACGAGGUGAUGAUGCGCGUGGGAAAUUGUCGUGGGUUUGUCACGGCAGAUGUCCUCGUGAAAGGACUUAGUCGUGGAGCCAUCGCUACGGGUUAGCUUAAAGGGGUUAAACCGGACAAGGGACACGAGAGUUUUAUACUAGUUCAGCCCCUUACGAUGAAGGUAAAAGCCUACGUCUAGUUGUGAUGGAAUUGCUGGGGUUUCGAUGACCAGGGAGCGAAUACGCUUUGCCUGAGUCUCGAGUUGUUGUCUGUUGUCCUUGAACCGCCGUCGGGUCGUCCCCUUAUAUACAUGGGUUGACGCCCGUCGGUUUACAGAAUCCCGAGGCCGGCUCAUAAACGUGUCCGGCUCGGCCUCUGCUCUUUCUAUCUUACAACCCAAGUUUACAUAUUAAUACCGGUUUAUGUCUACAUGCCUUAAACCGGCUUUGGGCCCUGGGCCUUCAUAAAACGUCACCGUCUGUCUUCAUGGGCUUCAGAUAUAAUGAACUACUUAUGGGGUUAACCCGGCCUCUCCUGGCCGGUUUACACCCAGUGGUAAUAUCCCCAACAUUAGGCCCCAGAUUGAUUUGAACUGGUUCAUGUCAAUCUUCAAUACUUAAGAAGAUUUCUUCUUCAACAUCUUCACAUAAUCUUGUAAACCGCCGUGACGUCACCUUCCAGGACCAUGGUAAACCGCCAUGACGUCAUCUGUUAUUUAAAACUGUAUAUAACCCAUCCUCAUUAAUGGGCCUUCGAAGAUCGAGGCAACAAAGCUGUCACACACCCCAUUUUUUGGGCUCCUCGAUUCUCGCGCCUGCCUUUUAUCCUUUUGCCUUUAUAAAUAGGGCCAGGGGGUCUUUCCAUUUUUCCCCCGUAUCUCUUCACCUCAUCUUCUUCCUCACGCUGCCCGACCUUUGGAGCUCCGCCGCCACCGUCGACCUUCGUUUCUUCCUCCGCAACGGCCGCUGCAUCAACCUGACCGGACCAGAAAAGUGCGGCGCUCCUCCGCUGUUCUCUCAUCAUCAGUGAGUUCUUCCUUUCUUUGCUCUAUAUCCACCAUUAGGGUUUCAAGGUUCAUCGGAGUCUAUCCCAUCUCCGCCAUUAUUCUCUCUUGUUCCUUUCAUUAGCAUAAACAACUAGCUGGAUCCGAUAUUUCUUACGCGGCCGUAGCCAUAAUCUCCUUUUUGUUAGAUCUGUUCCUUUACACAAAACUCAUCUUGAACCUUGCUGAACUGUUCAAACUAGUGAAAUUAGGUCUGAAUUUAUUUUGAUUUUCCAACGCACGGCAGAUCUGAAAUUACCAUGCCAAGCUGUGAAACUUGUUUUUCCUUCACUUACGCAUCUUCAAACUUGUAUCUUCAAUAUCAGAUUAGGCGGUUUAACUUCAUAGUAAAAAUGAUGACCCAGUAGAUACCAUUAGUCCCCUGUUGAACCGUCACUGCAUUCCCCAUUGUACUGUCUUCAUUGUCAGACUCCGGUUUACAUGCAACCAGCUCCGGUUUAACAAUAUGCUUAGAUCCUUAUACCGCUUUAUAGUUGUCAACUGUAAAUCUUAAACCGGCAAUAAUCAUGUUUCAGAUUUUCAUUGCCAUGGCCAAGCAAGUCUAUGAAUGUAAUUGGGCUCCUUCUUGAGUAACCGAAGAACAACUAAACAAUCUUGUUAAAACGGGCGCUUUAGCCAAGAAAGAUGUCAUCCACUGGAGGGUCCCUGGCCCGGAAAAUCCUCCUACACACAAGGACGGAGAGGUAGUCGUGUUUGCUGACCAUCUGGGUCGAGGUUUUAGCCCUCCUGGUUCGAAAUUUUUCCGAGAUGUACUAGCCAAUUUUCAGCUGCGCCCUCAAGACAUCGGUUCCAAUUCUGUGACCAACAUCUGCCACUUCCAAGUCUUCUGUGAGGCUUAUCUGCAAGAGGAACCUACAGUCGAACUGUUUAGGGAUUUCUUUCACUUAAACCGUCGUACAGAGUUCAUGGAUGGACCCAAUACGGAACCGGGCGGAAUGGCGGUUCAGAAAAGGAAGGAAGCCACCUUCCCUCAUCCCAAACUCCACAGUCAGCCCAAAGAGUGGAACCAGACCUGGUUUUAUUGCAAGGAUACAUCUCCACCUGAUGAAAACCCCCUGCCGGGUUACCGCCCUGAACGCCUUAGCAACACACAUCCUUUUCCUCAGAGGUUGACUGCAAAAGAAAGGGCCAACUAUGCUCCUCAAUUAUCAAAGCUUAGAGCCUUCAUGGCGAAUGGUUUGACAGGAGUUAAUCUUGCUCGUUGUUGGAUAAGCUGGAGUAUUCUGCCCUUAAGCCGGCGCUCCGGUUUGAUGUGUGAAUAUACGGGGAGUUUGAAGGAUGCUCAGCGGCACAUUGACAUUCGGCUUACACAUGCAGAAGUCACUGAGGCUGUAAAGAAAAUGUUGAACGAACCGGAGGCUGUCUGUGCCCAAACCGGACUACUCCCUUUCUGCACCUUCAACAAACCGCCAGCUGUAAGAAUCAUAUAAUCUUUUUAUCUGAAGUUGCUUUUGUCCAAAUAUUCUCUGAAAGUGUGAUUAUUUUCUGACAGGGUGAUGAUCCAUUCUGGAACAAGAAACCACCACAAGACAAACCGGCGAAGCCGCAAGACAAACCGGUCAAGCCGCAAAAUAAACUGGUCAAGCCAGUUCGUCCAAAGACCAAGGUUGUUAAAAAACCUGCCAAGAAAAGGACCACUGCAUCCUCUGAGCUACCAGCUGAUGACGAUGUGGGUAAUCCGGAAUCAGAGGUAGAACUUGACUCUCUUGGUUCAUUUUUUGUACACCUCAUUGACAAUGAUUAUUACCAGGACGACGCCGAAGGCAGUUAUGCUGAUGAUGUAGAGGUAAUCAUUCUUUCCUCCGAUUCAGAUCCUCUGCCAACAUCAAAAAUCUGUCGAGUAAACCGGAAAGUAAAAUUUUCUCACCCCCUUGCUUACUUGGACCCAAACUUUCUUUUGAAGACACAGCAGCACGAGGCUCGCCGCACAACCCGACACAGCGGCCAGGUAGUUAGCUCCGCCGGUUUACCGAACACUCCGGUUCAGAAACGCCGAUCAGAGGUCUCUUAUCCCCUCGACACUUCAUGCCCCAAAGCGGGUUGUUUCCAUCAGCCUCUUAACCCGUCUGAUUCAAAUUAUCAGGGUACUUCUCACUCAUCUUCUGGCGAGUCGUCUGCCACAAAGCUUCCACCCCUCAAAACAGUUCUUGGGUGAGUCAUACACUUAUUUUUAUCCUUGAUAUGUUAUUUUAAUAUAUAUUGUACUGAUCCUCAUGUUUAUUUUUCUCAGCGCCAAGCCCAGACCCAGCAAGAAGGCUCGAUUGAAUAAACCGGCUGAUGAGGACGUGGCUGUUGAACCGGAGAAAACUCUAGAUCCUGAAGAGACCAACAUUGAUGCCAUACUGAAUGACCCACCGCCUCAAGAUCAUGACUUCGUUGUUGAGCAGGUAGAAGUUGACACCACAAGCCAUGCUGACCAGCCAACCAGCCCUGUCCGAACUGACGACAAACCGGCAAGUCUGGUUAAAAAUACUGACAAACCGCCAACCCCAGUAACAGCUGCUGAUGACAAAGAUGAUGACAUUAUGAUUACUGGCACUGGCCAUACCGCUCCUGGCAAUCCCGUCGCUUUGUCAAAGCAUACUGCCAAAGAUGAGCUCUCUGCAAUUGGCAAAGGCAAAUGGAACGCCGAUUUGUCAAAUUAUGCCCAUCUGAAUGCUCAAGACCUUCACUCCGGCUUCUUGAACCGUCUGUACACCAGCCGUGACUAUGAAGCCGGUUUGGUAAAUUUGAUGAAGGAGCGAUAUGAGGUAACUCCAUAAGUGUUCCUCUCUUAUAUUCAAUUGCAACUUAUCAACUUCCAGUAGCCCCCAAGUGACGGUUUAGGAUACCAAUCUAAACCGGGACUUUAGUAACAAUUUCAAGUUCUCAACAAUGCAUCUUAACUUCACUGAUGUAGCCCCCGAGGGCCGGUUUAACUUUAUAAAGAUGAACCGGGACUUUGCAGAAGAUUUCCCAUAUCAGCAAUUAUGAGGAAACACACAUUAGCCCCCAAGUGCCAAGUUUAAUACUUGUAUUGUGCUUGGGACUUGUAGAAAGUUAUGAUAAAUAGCAAAUAUGCAUUAGCCCCCAAGUACUAAGGGCAUAACUUGUUAUGUGCUUGGUACUUCAAAUAUGUACUGUCAACUCAUUAUAUAUCUAUCUCUUUAUAGGCUGAACUGAGCAAGAAAGAAAGCCAAACCGCUGAUCUGCAGGAGAACAUCAAAUCCCAGCAAGCCGAAACCUCCAAAGCCAAGGAAGAGUUAACCAGCGCUCUAGGCGCUAUGGAGAAACUUAAAGAGGGCUUCAACAAGGAGCGGGCGGAUUGGGAGAUUGAAAAAUCCGCUUUGAUAAAAAGGGCUGAGAAUGCAGAAGCAGCUCUUAAACCGGUGGUUGACAAACUGACCGGUGUAAAGCGGCAGAUUCAUGCCAUGACUACUGCUGUGUUCGGUAAACAUCUUUUCCUUAAUACGUUCAACAUAUCUUCCCAUGUGUUGUCGGUUUACCGAUGUGUACAAUGGCGCAGGAACUCGUAUUAGCCAUCUGGGCUCUGACGUACAGAAGAAAUUGAAAGCGGCCUAUACUCUGAUAGAGCAACUGUAUACCGGUGCACAGCGGAUCAUCUAUACUGCUUCACACAAUAAUCCCCCUCCCAGUUUGAUCAAGGAUACCUUAGAAAGGUUAUCUAUGCUUCCUGCCCGGGUAGACGAGCUAAAAAAGUCUGCCGCUAGAACGGGCGCUUUGGCCGCACUAACCCGGGCAAAAGCGUGGGUACCUGACUUUGAUCCAAUGGAAGCGGCCCAAGGCUAUCCCAGUUUGAAGGAAGACGGAACAAAAUUUGGCAAUGAUGAUCUCCGAAUCAUAAACCGGGAAGUAUGCCCAUUUGCUUGUCAACUAGUUGAAGAAGCGGAUCUCUCGUACUAUCAGGCGAGUUAUGAUGAUAAGAACAGACGGGUUGCUGCACCAAUUCCAGAAGCGCAAAAUCUUAUCCCACCAAUCCGUAAGCACACUUAUGCCCCUGACAUUGAACCGUCCACGCUUAUAAGUGAUGAAGCUGUAUUCCAAGCCCUAACUGGGAUCGACUGGGCAACUGUUGACUUCCAGCCACUGGGUAGAGAGGAGGGAGUUGAACCGGCGCGAGAUGAUCCGCAGCCGUCAGGCCAGGCUGGUGACCAAUCAUGAACCGGAGGCUGGUUUAGUCUUCAACAUGCUGCAACAUGUAUUUGAGAAAAUUAUCCUUUUGGGCACUGAGACGCCUUGUAAUAGGCUAAUUUAACACACUUGGUCUGUUAUGCCUUCGUGAAUGUUUAUCUGUGACUGAUGCUUGUUAAUUCGCCAUGGUUAAGUUCAUAAUCCAUAGCCAUUUAUUCAAGCUGUUCCUGCAGGUAAAAAGCUUAAAGUGCCCUGGCGGUUUACCACCGGGCGGGUCAUGAUACCCAAAUAUAUAUAUGACCAAGGGUUAGAACCAAGGUUUGCAAAAGAUAACCAAAUAUGGAAAUAUAUAAUGCCUGUGACCUUUAGGCAUAAUGUUGGCUGACCAACGUUGUAGUGAGGGUCAUAACCGUACUCUGGAGGAUAAGUUACUCCUGUUAUAUGAUGACGGUUUACAAUAAAACCGUUCCGGGUUGUGAUAAACACCGAUUUAUUUCAUACUGGUGACUUUGAGUCAAAACUAGACCGGGCUGAUAGUCUCCGGAUUAUAAUUUGAUCGUGUACUGACAACUUGCAGUUGACAGCCUAACCGGGUUGAUAAACACCGGUUUAAAAAACAUCACAAAUCUUAUGAAAACAAAGAAAACUUAGCAAAAGGCAAAUAAAAACCGUUGUAGUCGAGGCUUUUCAUGGGCUGCCAGGCCCCAAAUUCGAGGCUUUUCAUGGGCUGCCAGGCCACUGAGUUAAACCAUUUUUGCAAAGCCUUUUAAGAUGGUCCUCAAUCCUGAACCAAUCAUCGUUUUAUCUUGACAAGUUCAGGGUCUUCAUUUUAGAGUAACUUGUCAAAGUUCGAAGGGUCAUACCAGGUUUACCUGGGCGGAGUGACUUACUUAAAUAGGCAGGUUAACCCGGGGUUUUAGGUGUAUACACCAGGCUUCCAAGCCAUGGCUUGAUAGCCUGUUACAAGUGUAGAUUCUUAGUUCAUUUCGACAGCAAAGAAUCCCGAAGUAACAUUGUGAGAUGUGCUCAAUGGGUGCCUAUGUUUGAACUGUUGUUUUACAACACUCUCUUUGGCCCCGGAUUGAUUUGGCUUUGAGCCAAUCAAGAGGUGUGACUGUGGUUCGGAUACGACCAAGCCCCCAAGUGAUGUUGUGGCAUUGCGCCGAUCAAGAGGUGUAGCUAUGGUUCGGAUACGACCAAGCCCCCAAGUGAUGUAAUAUAAAGCUUUGAGAAGCUAAAUCAAGGGGUAAACCGGACGCCGCUUUGUAAGCUCCAUGUAACCACACAUGAUGUAAGAAAAACAACAGAUACCCCGCUUUAGCUGAGGUUCCGGUUUAUUAUAUUGAUCAUAAUAUAUACAAUGUCAUAAUAUGUACAUAAGCAGAGCCUAUGGCUCAAGUAUAGUAGGGCCGAAGAUGAGCAAUAUUCCACGGUCGGUUGGUCUCCUCCUCCGAUUUACGUGAGUCUUUGCGCUCUCGAACAUCGAUUAGGUAGUAUGACCUGUUGUGCAGAUUCUUGCUGACCACAAAGGGUCCUUCCCAAGGGGGGCAUAGCUUAUGCAUAUCCGUCUGAUCCUGGAUGAGUCGAAGCACCAAAUCACCUUCUUGAAAGGUUCUGGUUCUAACUCGGCGGCUAUGAUAACGACGCAGAUCUUGCUGAUAAAUCGCCGAACGGGCUGCCGCCAUGUCACGUUCCUCAUCUAACAGGUCAAGAGCUUCCUGUCGUGCCUUCUCGUUGUCAGCUUCAACAUAUGCCGCUACACGAGGUGAGUCAUGACGGAUGUCACUAGGAAGAACCGCUUCCGCUCCAUAAACCAUGAAGAACGGUGUGUAUCUUGUCGAUCUGUUGGGUGUGGUAUUGAGGCUCCAUAACACAGAAGGUAACUCCUCAACCCAACAACCCGGCGUCCGUUGCAAAGGAACCAUAAGCCGGGGUUUGAUGCCUCUCAAGGUCUCUUGAUUGGCCCUCUCCGCUUAACCAUUGGACUGGGGGUGAGCCACUGAUGACACGUCAAGCCGGAUGUGCUCACGUUGAUAGAACUCCUUCAUGGCACCUUUGAUAGAUUGGUACCAUUGUCUGUUAUAAUGCUGUGUGGAAAGCCAAACCGGAAGAUCACCUUUUUGAUGAAUUGAACUGCCGUGGCUCCGUCACACUUACUAACUGGCUCUGCCUCCACCCACUUCGUGAAUUUGUCAACCGCCACCAAAAGGUGGGUCUUCUUGUCCUUGGACCUCUUGAAAGGCCCAACCAUAUCCAGCCCCCAAGUUGCAAACGGCCAGGUGAUUGGAAUCAUCCUCAAUUCUUGAGCCGGUACAUGAGCGCGCCUUGAGAAUUUCUGACAGCCAUCACAUCUUUUGACCAAGUCCUCGGCAUCAGCAUGAGCUGUCAACCAAUAGAAACCGUGACGAAACGCCUUGGCCACCAAAGAUUUUGAACCGGCGUGGUGGCCACAAUCUCCUUCGUGGAUCUCACGCAAAAUUUCACGGCCUUCCUCAGGAGACACACAGCGUUGAAACGCCCCUGUCACACUGCAAUGAUGUAACUCUCCAUUGAUAAUAGUCAUGGACUUGGACCGCCGGAUUAUCUGCCUGGCCAAAGUUUCAUCCUCUGGUAACUCGCCCUGGUUCAUAUACGCCAGAUAUGGAACCGUCCAAUCCGGGAUAACAUGAAGAGCUGCCACCAACUGAGCUUCCGGGUCAGGAACAGCCAAAUCCUCUUCACCAGGGAGCUUGACGGACGGAUUAUGCAGAACAUCCAGGAAGACAUUAGGUGGAACCGGUUUAUGUUGGGAACCUAAACGGCUUAAAGCGUCCGCCGCUUCAUUCUUCUGCCAGUCCACAUGAUCCACCUGAUAACCUUUGAAGUGACCUGCAACAAUAUCCACCUCACGACGAUAUGCCACCAUGAGUGGGUCCUUGGAAUCCCAAGUGUUGGACACUUGUUGAGCCACCAGGUCCGAGUCACCGAAGCACUUAACACGGCUUAGGUUCAUCUCCUUAGCCAUCCGAAGACCACUGAGUAGGGCCUCAUAUUCAGCUGCAUUGUUAGUGCAAGGGAACAUUAAACGGAGAACAUAACAAAACUUAUCACCUCGUGGGGAGGUUAAUACGACUCCAGCCCCCGAGCCCUCCAAUUGCUUGGACCCAUCAAAAUGAAUAGUCUAGUAAGUAUGAUCCGGCUUCUCUUCUGGCGCUUGUAGCUCUGUCCUAUCAUUGAUGAAAUCCACAAGUGCCUGAGAUUUGAUCGCCGUUCGGGGUAUGUACUUCAACCCGUGAGGCUCGAGCUCAAUAGCCCACUUAGCAAUCCGGCCAGUUGCUUCCCUAUUCUGGAUUAUAUCCCCCAAAGGAGCAGAGCUGACCACCAUGAUGGGAUGACCUUGGAAAUACUGCUUAAGCUUCCGGCUUGCCAUAAAAACCCCAUAAACCAAUUUUUGCCAAUGGGGGAUACCUCUGCUUGGACUCGAUAAGUACCUCACUGAUAUAGUAAACCGGCCGCUGAACCGGAUAUUCCUUUCCUGCCUCCUUGCGCUCCACCACAAUAGCCACACUAACAGCCCGAGCGUUAGCUGCUAUAUAUAGCAACAAUGGCUCUUUGUCGACCGGAGCAGCAAGAACCGGCGGAUUAGCCAGCUGCCGCUUUAAGUCCUCAAACGCUUCAUUAGCGGCGUCACUCCAGACGAAGUUAUCCGUUUUCUUCAGCAUCUGAUAUAAAGGGAUAGCCUUCUCGCCAAGGCGACUGAUAAACCGGCUCAAUGCGGCAAUCCGGCCCGCAAGGCAUUGAACAUCAUUGAUACACUUCGGUUUGGACAAGGAGGUGAUGGCUUUGAUCUUUUCCGGAUUAGCUUCAAUGCCCCUGUUAGAUACCAAAAAGCCCAAGAGCUUGCCUGCAGGUACACCAAAGACGCACUUGGCUGGAUUAAGCAUCAUUUUGUAAACCCACAGGUUAUCGAAGGUUUCCUUCAAGUCAUCAAUCAAUGUCUCCUUCUUCCUUGAUUUCACCACAAUAUCAUCCACAUAGGCGUGAACAUUGCGGCCGAUUUGUUUAUGAAGACGAUUCUGCACACACCGUUGAUAAGUCGCCUAGGCGCUCUUGAGCCCAAAGGGCAUGGACACAUAGUAGAAGGCUCCAAAGGGAGUUAUGAAGGCUGUCUUAUCCUGGUCCUUAACUGCCAUUUUGAUCCGAUGAUAACCAGAAUAUGCAUCCAAAAAGCUUAAACGCUCGCAACCCGCCGUAGCAUCAAUAAUUUGAUCAAUACGGGGAGGGCAAAAGGAUCUGCUGGACAAGCUUUGUUGAGAUCUGUGUAGUCCACACACAUACGCCAAGUGCCGUUCUUCUUAAGGACCAGCACCGGAUUAGCUAACCACUCAGGAUGGAAUACUUCAACGAUAAAUCCAGCCACCAAGAGCCUGGCUACUUCUUCUCCAAUAGCCUUGCGUCUUUCUUCAUUGAACCGGCGGAGAAACUUCUUAACCGGUUUAUACUUGGGAUCAACAUUGAGAGUGUGCUCAGCGAGUUCUCUCGGUACACCUGGCAUGUCAGAAGGCUUCCACGCAAAGAUGUCCCAAUUCUCAUGGAUGAACUCAAUGAGCGCGCUUUCCUAUUUCGGAUCCAAGUUAGCGCUGAUGCUAAACUGCUUGGAUGAAUCGCCAGGCACGAAGUCAACAAGCUUAGUCUCAUCAGCCGAUUUAAACUUCAGGGCCGGAUCAUGCUCUGUAGUUGGUUUCUUCAAUGAAGUCAUAUCUGCUGGAUCAACAUUGUCUUUGUAAAACUUCAACUCUUCUGUUGCACAAACCGACUCAGCAUAAGCCGCAUCACCUUCUUCACACUCCAGAGCGAUCUUGCGGCUCCCAUGCACGGUUAUAAUUCCCUUGUGACCCGGCAUCUUGAGCUGCAGAUAGACAUAAUAAGGUCGUGCCAUAAACUUAGCAUAAGCUGGCCGUCCAAACAGGGCAUGAUACGGGCUUUUGAUUUUCACCACUUCAAAGGUCAAAGUUUCUGAUCUUGAGUCAUGCUCAUCUCCAAAAGCCACUUCCAGAGCUACCUUACCAACAGGAUAUGCCGCUUACCAGGCACCACACCAUGGAACACCGUAUUGGACGGUUUAAGAUUUUUAUCUGUUAACCCCAUGCGAUGGAAAGUUUCAUAAUAAAGGAUAUUGAUACUACUCCCUCCAUCCAUGAGUACCUUAGUAAACUUAUAACCUCCCACCUGAGGUGCCACCACCAGUGCUAGAUGACCCGGAUUGUCAACCCGGGGUGGACAAUCCUCUCUACUCCACACAAUCGGUUGCUCGGACCAGCGCAAAUAACGGGGCACCGCCGGUUCAACGGCAUUCACUGCCCUUUUAUGAAGCUUCUGAUCGCGCUUGUCUAGGCUAGUGGUGAAGACAUGAUAGUGUCCGCUAUUCAACUGCUUCGGGUUGCUCUGGUAACCCGACUGCUGCUGCUGUUGCCGAUUCCCCUGAUUGUUAUAACCACCUUGGUUGCCCUGAUUGCCUUGAUUGCCAUGCCCGCUCUGGUUACCGUGAAAACCUGAACCGGAACUGCCUCCAGCAUAACCCGGCCCAUGAGACCCGAGGCCCGAACCGCCACCCGGUCCAUGAUCAUACCGGAAAGAAUUAGAAUUUUUGAACUCUUGCAUGAUGUAACAAUCUUUCCAGAGGUGCGUGGACAAAUUCUCCUUCGUCCCAUGUUUUGGGCAAGACUGGUUCAACAGAUAAGACAGGCGGUCCGGGUUAGGACUUGGUCCUCCACCGCGCUGGGGCGGUUUACCCUUACGCCGUUGGCCCUUGUCCUGCGUGCUGGUAUUAGCCACAAAGUCUAAGCCGUGGUCCGCUUUACGCUUGCCGCCGCUUCCAUGACCCGCCGGGUUAUGGUGCUGCCCCUUGGCGUUGCCGCUCCGUUUUCCCUUCACUGUCUUAUCAUCGUCAGACUCGGGAUCCUUGGUACUAUCAGAGUCGGCAUACUUCACCAGAGCAGCCAUGAGGGUUCCCAUGUCAUUACAAUGACAUUUGAGCCGUCCCAACUUUAACUUCAGGGGUUCAAACCGGCAAUUGCCUUCCAAUGUUAAAACUGCGGUAUCAGCGUUGAUGCGGUCCGAUGAAUGCAAAAAUUUUGAAACCCGGCGCACCCAACGGGUUGUUGACUCUCCUUCCUCCUGGACACAGGCAGCUAAGUCCACAAUUGACAUGGGUUGCUUGCAUGUAUCCUUGAAAUUCUAGAUAAACCGGGCUCUCAACUCGGACCAUGACCUAAUAGAAUUAGCCGGUAAGCUCUUUAGCCAAGUGCAGGCCGUCCCUUCUAGCAUCAUGGUGAAGUAUUUCACACAUGCCACAUCAUCCACAUCCAGCAUCUCCAUGGCCAUCUCAUAGCUUUCGACCCAUGUCUCAGGGGAUAAAUCGGCGGUGUAAUUCGGCACCUUGCGCGGGCCUUUGAAAUCCUUGGGCAGGCACACAUUGCACAACGCUGGGACGAGACACGGCACUCCCAAAGAACUAGAAGUAACUCCUGGUUCCACCGACGUGGUUGGACGAACCGGAGUAAGCUGACGGGCUUCAUGCUGUGCCACUAGCUUGGCCUCUCUGCGUGCCCGAGCCCGGUCCACCACCUCCUGAGCAUCACCAGCACCACUCGUCGGGUUAUUGCCACGGGGCGGAUCAUGGUUCCGCGUGUUGCUUGACAUUGCCGGUUCAUUCAUACACCUGCUGUAACUCCGGCUUGGACGGGGAGUGGAAUGAAUCCGAUCGCGACUAUACGAAUAAGCCUCCUGUUGAACCAAGGCUGUCUGAAGAAGCUCCUUAACCCGACACGUCUCGACCACCGCCGGAGAAUCGCCUUCGAUCGGGAUAGCCGCCAGCCGUGAAGCGGCAGCGACAAUGUUGUCCAUCGGGUUAGAGUAAUGACCCGGUGGCGUUGGGACAUCGGUGUUACAAUGUUGUUCUGACGAGGUGGAUCCACCAAACGUGGCUGAACCGGCGCCCCCGCUCCAGGUGCCUCCACCCGGUUCACCACCGGCGGAUUACUAGUCCCUGCUCCUGGGGUGUUAAAGAGGUUUCUAGCGUCAUAAACUGGUGGCAGGCGAGAUCGGUACCUCCUCUUCAGGACUUCGUUCGACGCACUCUGAUCCAGCAUAAUCCGGUAAGCAUGUGCAUCCAAAGCGGCCCGCUCCGUGGCCAUCCUGGUAUCCUCAGCUGCUAAGUCGGCUUUGGCCUGGGUGAUCUGAUCUUUCACCUUCGCGAUUUCCGCAUUGUAUGCAUCCUGAUCCGUCGGGUUAACCUCCGCCAUUAGCAUUGCCAAUGCGUCAAACAAAUCAGAUAGAACCUGAGCCGGCGGUCGCACAGGGCCUCCUGUCCCAGCCGCUGUUGCCGCUGCCGAUCCGGAAAUCAUCACCGCUGCGGUCGAAGAGCGGAGCGCCGGUUGCGUACCGGCCAUGAAGAUCGCAACCCGGUUUGGCAGAUCAAAGGGGUCCGGAAUACUGUCGCCAUCGGAACAGCCCACAAUCCGGCCAUCUUGCAACUGAUACAGCGACUCGGUCUCUCCGGUUGAUGACUCGUCGCCGGAAUAAACGAUGGUUUCACCACCAGAUUCCGAUCUAUCCUCAGAUUCCCCUCUGUGGAUGACUCCCACGAAGGCACGCUUCAUGACAGGCUUGACCCGGGCAGAUCUCACACGCUGAGCCGUUUCGACGAGGUCGGUGUAGAUGUCCGACUCAGGGCCCGGUUCGCCGAUCUUGCCAAUGAAAACAUGUAUGCCACCAAAGGGGACCCGGUACCCGUACUCGAUUGAGCCGGCCUUGGGGCCCCAACCUGCAUCGUCGAUGUAGAGCUUGCCGCGGUGACUCUUGGUCAUCCGGCCCACAGCGUAGCCCUUAAGUCCUUCGAAGCUGCCCUCUAAGAACUCGAAACCACCGUGCGAUAGCCCCAUGGUGGGGGCCAACUGUCGUGGGUUUGUCACGGCAGAUGUCCUCAUGAAAGGACUUAGUCGUGGAGCCAUCGCUACGGGUUAGCUUAAAGGGGUUAAACCAGACAAGGGGCACGAGAGUUUUAUACUAGUUCGGCCCCUUACGAUGAAGGUAAAAGCCUACGUCUAGUUGUGAUGGAAUUGCUGGGGUUUCGAUGACCAGGGAGCGAAUAUGCUUUGCCUGAGUCUCGAGUUGUUGUCUGUUGUCCUUGAACCGCCGCCGGGUCGUCCCCUUAUAUACAUGGGUUGACGCCCGUCGGUUUACAGAAUCCUGAGGCCGGCUCAUAAACGUGUCCGACUCGACCUCUGCUCUUUCUAUCUUACAACACAAGUUUACAUAUUAAUACCGGUUUAUGUCUCUAGGCCUUAAACCGGCUUUGGGCCCUAGGCCUUCAUAAAACGUCACCGUCUGUCUUCAUGGGCUUCAGAUAUAAUGAACUACUUAUGGGGUUAACCCGGCCUCUCCUGGCCGGUUUACACCCAGUGGAAAUAUCCCCAACAGAAAUGGUUCCGAAGUCGAUGUGAUCGCCGUCGGCACGCUACCUCUACAUCUACCUUCGGAAUUAGUUUUAGACCUGAAUAAUUGUUAUUUGGUGCCAGCGUUAAGCAUGAACAUUAUAUCUGGAUCUUGUUUGAUGCGAGAUGGUUAUUCAUUUAAAUCAGAGAAUAAUGGUUGUUCUAUUUAUAUGAGUAAUAUCUUCUAUGGUCAUGCACCCUUAAUGAGUGGUCUAUUUUUACUAAAUCUCGAUAGUAGUGAUACACAUAUUCUGAAGGAAAUAUGCCCUAGAGGCAAUAAUAAAGUUAUUAUUUUAUUUCCUUAUAUCAUGAUAAAUGUUUAUUAUUCAUGCUAGAAUUGUAUUAACCGGAAACUUGGUACAUGUGUGAAUACAUAGACAAACAGAGUGUCCCUAGUAUGCAUCUACUUGACUAGCUUGUUUAUCAAAGAUUGUUAUGUUUCCUAGCCAUAGACAUGUGUUUUCAUUUGAUGAACGGGAUCACAUCAUUAGAGAAUGAUGUGAUGGACAAGACCCAUCCGUUAGCUUGGCACUAUGAUCAUUUAGUUUAUUGCUAUUGCUUUCUUCAUGACUUAUACAUGUUCCUCUGACUAUAAGAUUAUGCAACUCCCGAAUACCGGAGGAACACUUAGUGUGCUAUCAAAUGUCACAACGUAACUGGGUGAUUAUAAAGAUGCUCUACAGGUGUCUCCGAUGGUGUUUGUUAAGUUGGCAUAGAUCGAGAUUAGGAUUUGUCACUCCGAUUGUCGGAGAGGUGUCUCUGGGCCCUCUCGGUAAUGCACAUCACAAUAAGCCUUGCAAGCAUUGUGACUAAUGAGUUAGUUACGGGAUGAUGCAUUAUGGAACGAGUAAAGAGACUUGCCGGUAACAAGAUUGAACUAGGUAUGGUGAUACCGACGAUCGAAUCUCGGGCAAGUAACAUACCGAUGACAAAGGGAACAACGUAUGUUGUUAUGCGGUUUGACCGAUAAAGAUCUUCAUAGAAUAUGUAGGAGCCAAUAUGAGCAUCUAGGUUCCGCUAUUGGUUAUUGACCGGAGAUGUGUCUCGGUCAUGUCUACAUAGUUCUCGAACCCGUAGGGUCCGCACGCUUAACGUUCGAUGACGAUUUGUAUUAUGAGUUAUGUGAUUUGACGACCGAAGUUUGUUCGGAGUCCCGGAUGAGAUCACAGACAUGACGAGGAGUCUCAAAAUGGUCUAGAGAUAAAGAUCGAUACAUUAGAAGGCUAUAUUCGGACAUCGGAAAGGUUCCGAGUGAUUCGGGNNNNNNNNNNNNNNNNNNNNNNNNNNNNNNNNNNNNNNNNNNNNNNNNNNNNNNNNNNNNNNNNNNNNNNNNNNNNNNNNNNNNNNNNNNNNNNNNNNNNNNNNNNNNNNNNNNNNNNNNNNNNNNNNNNNNNNNNNNNNNNNNNNNNNNNNNNNNNNNNNNNNNNNNNNNNNNNNNNNNNNNNNNNNNNNNNNNNNNNNNNNNNNNNNNNNNNNNNNNNNNNNNNNNNNNNNNNNNNNNNNNNNNNNNNNNNNNNNNNNNNNNNNNNNNNNNNNNNNNNNNNNNNNNNNNNNNNNNNNNNNNNNNNNNNNNNNNNNNNNNNNNNNNNNNNNNNNNNNNNNNNNNNNNNNNNNNNNNNNNNNNNNNNNNNNNAGGGGUGGCCGCACCCCCCCCAUGGCAAGUCCGAAUUGGACUAGGGAGGGGGCGGCGCCCCCCUGUCUUCCUUCUCCCUCUCCUACUCCUUCCCUCCCUCCCCUCUUGGAAAAGGAAGGGGACUCCAACCAGGAUUGGGAAUCCUAGUUGGAUUCCCCCUAUAGGCGCGCCCCUCCUAGGCCAGCCUCCUCUUCCUUCCUCCUUUAUAUACGUGGACAGGGGGCACCCCGAAGAGACACGAAGAUUUGUCUUAGUCGUAUGCGGUGCCCCCUCCACAGUUAUACACCUCGUUCAUAUCGUCGUAGUGCUUAGGCGAAACCCUGCGUCGGUAACUUCAUCAUCACCGUCACCACGCCGUCGUGCUGAUGAAACAAUCCCUUGGCCUCAACUGGAUCAAGAGUUCGAGGGACGUCACUGAGCUGAACGUGUGCAGAUCGCGGAGGUGCCGUGCGUUCGGUACUUGGAUCAUUUGGAUCGCGAAGACGUUCGACUACAUCAACCGCGUUAAUAAACACUUCCGCUUUCGCUCUACGACGGUACGUAGACACACUCUCCCCGCUCAUUGGUAUGCAUCACCUAGAUAGAUCUUGCAUGUUCGUAGGAUUUUUUUUUUGAAAUUACUGCGUUCCCCAACAGUGGUAUCAGAGCGAGGUUUAUGCGUAGAUGUUAUAUGCAUGAGUAGAACACAAAGAGUUGUGGGCGAUAAUAGUCAUACUGCUUACCAGCAUGUCAUACUUUGAUUCGGCGGUAUUGUUGGAUGAAGCGGCCCAGACCGACAUUACAUGACCGCGUUCAUGAGACUGGUCCUACCUUCGUGCUUCGCACACAGGUGGCUAGUGAGUGUCUGUUUCUCUAGUUUUAGUUGAAUCGAGUGUGACUAUGCCCGGUCCUUGUUGAAGGUUAAAAUAGCACACUUGACGAAAAAUCAUUGUGGUUUUGAUACGUAGGUAAGAACGGUUCUUGCUAGAAGCCCGUAGCAGCCACGUAAAACUUGCAACAACAAAGUAGAAGACAUCUAACUUAUUUUUGCAGGGCAUGUUGUGAUGUGAUAUGGUCAAGACAUGAUGUGAUAUAAUUUGUUGUAUGAGAUGAUCAUGUUUUGUUAAAGUUAUCGGCAACUGGCAGGAGCCUUAUGGUUGUCUCUUUAUUGCAUAAGAUGCAAGCACCAUAUAAUUGAUUUACUUUAUCGCUAUGCAAUAGCAAUAGUUGCAAAACGAAUAGUUGGCGAGACAACCAUGUGACGACACGUUGAUAGAGAUCAAGAUGAUGGAGAUCAUGGUGUCAUGCCGGUGACGAUGGAGAUCAUGACGGUACUUUGGAGAUGGAGAUCAAAGGCACAAGAUGAUGAUGGCCAUAUCAUGUCACAUAUUAUUUGAUUGCAUGUGAUGUUUAUCUUUUUAUGCAUCUUAUUUUGCUUAGUACGGUGGUAGCAUUAUAAGAUGAUCUCUCACUAAAUUUCAAGGUACAAGUGUUCACUCUGAGUAAGCACCAUUGCGACAGUUCGUCGUUCCGAGAUACCACGUGAUGAUCGGGUGUGAUAAGCUCUACGUUCACAUACAACGGGUGCAAGCCAGUUUUGCACACGCAGAAUACUCGGGUUAAACUUAACGAGCCUAGCAUAUGCAGAUAUGGCCUGGGGAUACUCAGACCGAAAGGUCGAGCGUGAAUCAUAUAGUAUAUAUGAUCAACAUAGUGAUGUUCACCAUUGAAAACUACUCCAUCUCACAUGAUGAUCGGACAUGGUUUAGUUGAUAUGGAUCACGUGAUCACUUAGAUGAUUAGAGGGAUGUCUAUCUAAGUGGAAGUUCUUAAGUAAUAUGAUUAAUUGAACUUUAAUUUAUCAUGAACUUAGUCCUGAUAGUAUUUGCAUAACUAUGUUGUAGAUCAAUAGCUUGCGAUGUAGCUCCCCGUUUAUUUUUGAUAUGUUCCUAGAGAAAAAUAAGUUGAAAGAUGAUAGUAGCAAUGAUGCGGACCUGGUCCAUGAUCUAAGGAUUAUACUCAUUGCUGCACAGAAGAUUUAUGUUCUUGAUGCACCGCUAGGUGACGGACCUAUUGCAGGAGCAGAUGCAGAUGUUAUGAACGUUUGGCAAGCUCAGUAUGAUGACUACUUGAUAGUUUAGUGCGCCAUGCUUUACGGCUUAGAACCGGGACUUCAAAAAUGUUUUGAAACACCAUGGAGCAUAUGAGAUGUUCCAAGAGUUGAAAUUGGUAUUUCAGACUCAUGCCCGAGUCGAGAGGUAUGAGACCUUUGACAAGUAUUUUUUGCCUACAAGAUGGAGGAGAAUAACUCAACCAGUGAGCAUGUGCUCAGAAUGUCUGAGUACUACAAUCGCUUGAAUCAAGUGGGAGUUAAUCUUCCAUAUAAGAUAGUGAUUGACAGCGUUCUCUAGUCACUAUCACCAAGUUACUGGAACUUCGUGAUGAACUAUAAUAUGCAAGGGAUGACGAAAAUGAUUCCCCGAGCUCUUCGCGAUGCUAAAAUCGGCGAAGGUAGAAAUCAAGAAAAGCAUCAAGUGUUGAUGGUUGACAAGACCACUAGUUUCAAGUAAAAAGGGCAAGUGAAAGAAAGGGAACUUCAAGAAGAAUGACAAGCAAGUUGCCACUCCCGUGAAGAAACCCAAAGCUAAACCCAAGCCUGAAACUGAGUGCUUCUACUGCAAAGGAAAUGGUCACUGGAAGUGGAACUGCCCUAGAUACUUGGCGGAUAAGAAGGAUGGCAAAGUGAACAGAGGUAUAUUUGAUAUACAUGUUAUUGAUGUGUACUUUACUAGUGUUUAUAGCAAAUCCUCGGUAUUUGAUACUGGUUCAGUUGCUAAAAGUAGUAACUCGAAACGGGAGUUGCAAAAUAAAAGGAGACUAGUUAAGGGCGAGGUGAUGAUGUGUGUUGGAAGUGAUUCCAAGGUUGAUAAGAUCACCAUCGCACACUCCCUUUACCUUCGGGAUUAGUGUUUUUUUGAACCACUUCGGGAUUAGUGUUGAACCUAAAAUAAAUGUUAUUUGGUGUUUGCGUUGAGCAUAAUAUGAUUGGAUCAUGUUUAUUGCAAUACGGUUAUUCAUUUAAAUCAAGAAUAAUUGUUAUUCUGUUUACAUGAAUAAAACCUUCUGUGGUCAUACACCCAAGGUGAAUGGUUUACUGAAUCUCGAUCGUAGUGAUACACAUAUUUAUUGAUGCCAAAAGAUGCAAAGUUGAUAAUGAUAGUGCAACAUAUUUGUGGCACUGCCGUUUAGGUCAUAUUGGUGUAAAGCGCAUGAAGAAACUCCAUGCUGAUGGGCUUUUGGAAUCACUUGAUUAUGAAUCACUUGAUACUUGUGAACCAUGCCUCAUGGGCAAGAUGACUAAGACUCCGUUCUCCGGAACAAUGGAGCGAGCAACUGACUUAUUGGAAAUAAUACAUACUGAUGUAUGCGAUCCGAUGAGUGUUGAAACUCGCGACGGGUAUUGUUAUUUUCUGACCUUCACAGAUGAUUUGAGCAGAUAUGGGUAUAUCUACUUGAUGAAACAUAAGUCUGAAACAUUUGAAAAGUUCAAAGAAUUUCAGAGUGAAGUGGAAAAUCAUCGUAACAAGAAAAGAAAGUUUCAACGAUCUGAUCGCGGAGAUGAAUACUUGAGUUACGAGUUUGGUCUUCAUUUGAAAUGAUGUGGAAUAGUUUCGCAACUCACGCCAACCAGAACACCACAGCGUAAUGGUGUGUCUGAACGUCGUAACCGCACUUUAUUAGAUAUGGUGCGAUCUAUGAUGUCUCUUACCAAUUUACCACUAUCGUUUUGGGGUUAUGCAUUAGAGACAGCUGCAUUCACGUUAAAUAGGGCACCAUCUAAAUCCGUUGAGACGACGACAUAUGAACUGUGGUUUGGCAAGAAACCCAAGUUGUCGUUUCUUAAAUAUUGGGGCUGCGAUGCUUAUGCGAAAAAGCUUCAACCUCAUAAGCUCGAACCCAAAUCGAAGAAAUGUGUCUUCAUAGGAUACCCAAAGGAGACUGUUGGGUACUCCUUCUAUCACAGAUCCGAAGGCAAAAUAUUCGUUGCUAAGAAUGGAUCCUUUCUAGAGAAGGAGUUUCUCUCGAAAGAAGUGAGUGGGAGGAAAGUAGAACUUGAUGAGGUAAUUGUACCUACUCCCUUUAUUGGAAAGUAGUUCAUCACAGAAAUCAGUUCCAGUGAUUCCUACACCAAUUAGUGAGGAUGCUAAUGAUGAUGAUCAUGAAACUUCUGAUCAAGUUACUACCGAACCUCGUAGGUCAACCAGAGUAAUAUCCGCACCAGAGUGGUACGGUAAUCCUAUUAUGGACAUCAUGUUACUUGACCAUGACGAACCUACGAACUAUGAGGAAGCGAUGAUGAGCCCAGAUUCCGCGAAAUGGCUUGAGGCCAUGAAAUCUGAGAUGGGAUCCAUGUAUGAGAACAAAGUAUGGACUUUGGUGGACUUGCCCGAUGAUCGGCAAGACAUUGAGAAUAAAUGGAUCUUCAAGAGGAAGACAGACGCUGAUAGUAGUGUUACUAUCUACAAAGCUCGAUUUGUCGAAAAAGGUUUUUGACAAGUUCAAGGUGUUGACUAUGAUGAGAUUUUCUCACUCUUAUCGAUGCUCAAAGUCUGUCUGAAUCAUGUUAGCAAUUGCCACAUUUUAUGAAAUCUGGCAAAUGGAUGUAAAAACUGCAUUCCUUAAUGGAUUUAUUAAAUAAGAGUUGUAUAUGAUGCAACCAGAAGGUUUUGUCAAUCCUAAAGGUGCUAACUGUUGGGGAACGUGGUAAUAAUUCGAAAUUUUCCUAUGUGUCACCAAGAUCAAUCUAGGAGAUACUAGCAACGAGAGAGAGGGAGUGCAUCUUCAUACCCUUGAAGAUCGCUAAGCGGAAGCGUUACAAGGAACGCGGAUGAUGGAGUCGUACUCGCGGCGAUUCAAAUCGUGGAAGAUCCGAUCUAGUGCCGAACGGACGGUGCCUCCGCAUUCAACGCACGUACAGCCCGGGGACGUCUCCUCCUUAUUGAUCCAGCAAGGGGAGAGGCGAAGUUGAGGGAGAGCUCCGGCAGCAGGAUGACGUGGUGGUGGAGCUUGCAGUUCUCCGGCAGGGCUUCACCAAGCACUACGGAGGAGGAGGAGGAGGUGUUGGAGAGGGGGAGGGCUGCGGCUGCCCUCCCACCCCCUCUAUUUAUAGGGUGAAGGGAGAGGGGGCCGGCCCCUUUAGAUGCAUCUAGAGGGGGGCGGACAAGGGGUGACUUGCCCCCCAAGUUUGGUGGGAGGUGCCCCCACCCCCUAGGGUUUCCAACCGUAGGCGCCUUGGGCCCUUGGGGGCGCACCAGCCCACUAGGGCGUUGGUUCCCACCCUUGUUCAGCCCAUUAAGUCCCCCGAGGUAGGUGGCCCCACCCGGUGGACCCCCGGACACCUUUCGGUGGUCCCGGUACAAUGCCGAUAACCCCCGAAACAAUUCCUGCGACUGAAACUGGACUUCCCAUAUAUAAAUCUUCACCUCCAGACCAUUCAGGAACUCCUCGUGACGUCCGAGAUCUCAUCCGGGACUCCGACAACCUUCGGUAACCGCAUACUAUUUCCCAUAACAACUCUAGCGUCACCGAACCUUAAGUGUGUAGACCCUACGGGUUCGGGAACCAUCCAGACAUGACCGAGACAUCUCUCCGGCCAAUAACCAAUAGUGGGAUCUGGAUACCCAUGUUGGCUCCCACAUGUUCCACGAUGAUCUCAUCGAAUGAACCACGAUGUCAGGGAUUCAAUCAAUCCUGUAUGCAAUUCCCUUUGUCUAUCGGUAAGUUACUUGCCCGAGAUUCGAUUGUCGGUAUCCCCAUACCUCGUUCAAUCUCGUUACCGGCAAGUCUCUUUACUCAUUCCGUAACGCAUGAUCCCGUGACCAACUCCUUAGUCACAUUGAGCUCAUUAUGAUGAUGCAUUACCGAGUGGGCCCAGAGAUACCUCUCCGUCAUACGGAGUGACAAAUCCCAGUCUCGAUUCGUGCCAACCCAACAGACACUUUCGGAGAUACCUGUAGUGUACCUUUAUAGCCACCCAGUUACGUUGUGACGUUUGGUACACCCAAAUCAUUCCUACGGUAUCCAGGAGUUGCACAAUCUCAUGGUCUAAGGAAACAAUACUUGACAUUAGAAAAGCUCUAGCAAAACGAACUACACGAUCUUGUGCUAUGCUUAGGAUUGGGUCUUGUCCAUCACAUUAUUCUCCCAAUGAUGUGAUCCCAUUAUCAAUGACAUCCAAUGUCCAUGGCCAGGAAACCAUGACCAUCUAUUGAUCAACGAGCUAGUCAACUAGAGGCUUACUAGGGACAUAUUACGAUCUAUGUAUUCACACAUGCAUUACGGUUUCUGGUUAAUACAAUUAUAGCAUGAACUAUAGACAAUUAUCAUGAACAAGGAAAUAUAAUAAUAACCAAUUUAUUAUUGCCUCUAGGGCAUAUUUCCAACACUAACAAAAUGUGCAAGCUCCAGCGAUCCAUCUAUGGACUGGUGCAAGCAUCUCGGAGUUGGAAUAUACGCUUUGAUGAGUUGAUCAAAGCAUAUAGUUUUAUACAGACUUGCGGCGAAGCCUGUAUUUACCAGAAAGUGAGUGGGAGCACUACAGCCUUUCUGAUAAGUAUAUGUGAAUGACAUAUUGUUGAUCAGAAAUAAUGUAGAAUUUUCCGGAAAGCAUAAAGGAGUAUUUGAAAGGAGUUUUUCAAAGAAAGACCUCGGUGAAGCUGCUUACAUAUUGGGCAUCAAGAUCUAUAGAGAUAGAUCAAGACGCUUGAUAAGAUUUUUCAAUGAGUACAUACCUUGACGAGAUUUUGAAGUAGUUCAAAAUGGAACAAUCAAAGAAGGAGUUCUUGCCUGUAAGUUCUAAAGUUGAGUAAGACUCAAAACCCGACCACGGCAGAAAAUAGAAAGAGAAUGAAAGUGGUUCCCUAUGCCUCGGCCAUAGGUUCUAUAAAGUAUGCCAUGUUGUGUACCAGACCUAUUGUAUACCUUGCUAUGAGUUUAGCAAGGGGGUACGAUAGUGAUCCAGGAGUAGAUCACUGGACAACGGUCAAAGUUAUCCUUAGUUACCUAAGAGGACUAAGGAAAUAUUUCUCGGUUAUCGAGGUGAUAAAGAGUUCAUCGUAAAGAGUUACGUCGAUGCAAGUUUUUACACCGAUCUGGAUGAAUCUAAGUCCCGAUCUACAUAUUGAAAGUCGGAGCAAUUAGCUAGAGUAGCUCCGUGCAAAGCAUUGUAGACAUAGAAAUUUGCAAAAUACAUACGGAUCUGUAUGUGACAGACCCGUAGACUAAAACUUCUCUCACAAGCAAAACAUGAUCACACCUUAGUACUCUUUGGGUGUUGAUCACAUGGCGAUGUGAACUAGAUUACUGACUCUAGUAAACCCUUUGGGUGCUGGUCACAUAGCGAUGUGAACUAUGGGUGUUAAUCACAUGGUGAUGUGAAUUAUUGGUGUUAAAUCACAUGGCGAUGUGAACUAGAUUAUUGACUCUAGUGCAAGUGGGUGACUGAAGGAAAUAUGCCUUAGAGGCAAUAAUAAAGUUAUUAUUUUAUUUCCUUAUAUCAUGAUAAAUGUUUAUUAUUCAUGCUAGAAUUGUAUUAACCGGAAACUUGGUAAGUAGCAUUGCAAGAUGGCGCCUCCCUCUCCCACCUCCUCUCCCACCCUCCACCAACAACCAUGGCGCCGGUCCUAGAUCCCACCAAUUUCAUCCAGCAAAUCCAACAAACAAACCUAUGGAUCCAUUCAAUGAUCCAUACUCCAUUGCCCAUCAACUGGAUUUUUCAUUUGGUCAUCAUUUCAGAGGACAGGUUCGUGAUCUCUUCCUUAGUUCGGUCAACCCCGUAUCAUCUGCCUAUGGAUUCAAGAUGGUGGUAUCUUUUGCCCGAUCUACCUUUCCCCUGGAUCCUCUUAAUGUCAGUCUGGCUCUAUCAUCUUGCACGGGAGGUGCCUAUGAUUCUUUGGAUGUUCUUCAUAUUCAUGGCAAGGUAUUCUGUUUCUCGGUAUGCUCCAAAAAUGUGGGUUUCUAUCUAGUCAGAAAGAAGAUGUUUGAAUGCCCAAUUUUCAAGUGCUAUUUUCACUUAUGGAGCAAUGGUGGUGCCAAUUGGAUUUAUGAAGAAAAACUUUGGUACUCUGAAGAAGACGCUGAAUGGACUAAGGUGACUAGAAAGAAAGGUAACAAACAUUCUCAUCAUGUUCAAGUUAGCAAAGUUUACAAGCGCAUCACCUCUGCACUUACUAUGCAAUCAGUCCCUCCUACUGAUCCUACGUCCAAUCAUAAUAAUCCACCACUAUCUGGUGCCAAUCGGAUCUCUAUCCAUGCAUCGGGCGCUGAUCGUGACCUAGGCAACCAACGCGAUGAACACGCAUGCAACCAACCCACUCCCAUGCAUCACGGAUCACAGCCCGUGGAAUGCAACAAUAAUUCAAAUUCUUCUCGGGCUAGGAAGAAUAGAGAUGGGCCGCCCCCUGGCCCAGCCAGACGCUCAGCCCAUCGCUUCAGAAGCCGUAUCGACAGACGUAUCCCCCGAUGCCAGCUCGCGUUUCUGUUCCCGAUGCCUAGGACCUGAUCAUUAUCGAUCUAACUGCCCCAAUAAAAUCAGGUGCAGGGUUUGUUUCAGAUAUAACCAUAUUGCUAUAUUUUGUUUCUUUAAGCAAAACAAAACCCUCAUAUAUCGGGCAAAGCAGUCGGCCCCUCCUCUUAUAUUGCACACAGCUGACAACCACCUGGCCUCUUCGCCUUCUACUACUCUCCCUGCUUCACGCCCCCCGCCGGCCACCACGAGCUUGCCUCCAAUGGCGUGCUACCCAUGCAACCCCUACCCCCACCUCCCACCCGGCACCACCAUUGUUGCUCUUGGCCCUCUGCGCGAGCAACGAGGAUACGUUGUUGUUGGAGGAGAACUCCCCAUGGUCUGCGACGAGUGGGCCAUUGCCACGCUGGUUCCUGGCAUCGCCCUGGAGGAAUUUCAUGGUGCAAACGCCAUGAUCACAAACUUCUUGGAGAACAGGGGAUGGAGAAUCAACUACUCAUCGCGCUGUGGUAUGGGAUCUGCACUUAUCCAGUUUACUACUGCAUGCUCUCGCGACUCUGCUAUUGCAAACAGCCCAUAUCAGAUUGGGGACUCUGUUCUUAGGAUUACUAGGCAAGAUCGAGGACUGAACUAUCGUAGCAUCACUUUUACUCAUGAUGUCUGGUUACUGUUGAUGAACUACCCACUUGAAUGCUGGGAUGUGAAUGUGAUUAGCCGUACUGUUGCACCCUAUGGUAGAUUUCUGAUUUGGAACAAAGAUCCCAGAGAUAAAACCAGAAUCAUUGUGAAAGUUAAGAGUCAUUAAUCCUGAUACUUUACCUCUGAGCAUUGUGGUGCUGCGCAAUCUUGAUGAUAUUGGCUAUGGUGGUUCAUGGACAUACCCAACUUACAUUAUGUCCAGAGAAAUCAUUGGGCAGCAGGGAGGGGAUGAAGAUCCUCAGCCCCCGGAUGGAGGAAACCCUCACCCUCUGCCCCAUGUGCAUGGUGGGUUUUGGCAUGAUGAGGUCCUUGGCAACAUUCCAAUGGAACAAGUGGUUGUUAACCCCCACAAUGAAAACCUGGGUGCCCCAUAUGAGGAUGUUCAUGCUGCUGAGGGCUAUUUCAAUGUGGCAGAAAUCCAGGAACAAUUUCAGGUUGCUAUUAAUGAAAACUUACCUGACAAUGCUCCAGCUGUUAACAAUGAGGCUCCCCAUAUUGCUGCUGUAGAUGCUCCUGCUCCUGUGAUUAAGGAUCUGAAUCUCAACGUGUGUGCUGAUACAAAUGUUCAAGUUGAUGCUGCCCUUGUAGAAGCGGUGCAAACCAUUCCUUCAAUUGAAGAGGAUUUCAUCCCCUGUACCUAUGGCAGACAGCCCUGUUUUCUCUCCUCAAAACGCCAGCAUGAACUAUAAUGACAAUGUAGUAGCCAGUGAGGAAUCUCAAACGCAGAACAUUAUCACUGUUGAAGGCAAUACUGAACACAUCUCUGCUCUGCAGAAAUUGAUUGGUAACCUUGCUGCCUACAAUGACAAGAUCAUCCCAAAAAUUGGUGAGGCCAACAUUGUUAAUGUACCUUGUCAGAUCAUGGACAUUGAGGGCUCCAAUGGGGCCAGACAGAAGUGCAUUCUGCAGUUUCGGACCUCAAACCCUACCCAGAUGAAACAACAGUCUAGCUCUGCAAGUAUUGUUGAGAUCACAGCAGACACCUAUGCAGCCACCAGUAAGCCAACCAAAGUUACUAACAAGAGGAAGAAGAAUGUCAUUGUGGAUGAAGCUUUUUGCAGAAGGAGCAACAGGCUUGCUAAACUCACUAUGGGUUUCAAAACAAGGAAGCAGCUGCUGCAAACCUAGCUGAGAAACCAGAAUGCAGCAAGCAAGCCAAUAGCAAGAAGAAGUCUAAAGUUUCUGUCAACCUGGGGCCCAAAUUUGAUGCCAUCAUCAUUGACAAACAUGCCCCACCCCCUCCUGAAAUUCCAAUCAACACCCUACCGGCGAUUGGCACUGGACCUUGCAAGAUGUCACACAAGGAUGUGAGCUCCAAGGUUCUCACAUACGACAGCUCUGAUGAAUAAAUAUCCCCUCAAGAAAUGGCUCUGGAAAGCUCCUGGUUUAUGCAUUUUAGAACCUUUUCAUCGUUUUCCUGCUUUCAGUUACCUGUAUUUGAGAUGCCUGCGUGCAUCUAUGCUAGACAUGGUUUGUAAUAAUGAGCUACUAUGGCACUCUUGGUAUUUUGCUUUCAGUUAUUGCAGUAGGAUUUGUUUUGUUUAUUAUAUGAUCAUUGUGCCAUCAAAUGUUGCACACAUAUUCUGGUACUUUAAUGAUCAUGAUUGCAGCACAGUCACAAUGCUGCCAAUGAGAAAUUCCUCAUCAUGCCAAGCUAAUCCUAGUAUGAACUCUAGUUCCUCAACAAUAGUAUUCAAUGAAUAGAAACUGGAAUAUACUAUGUUGGAAUGUUAGAGGAAUUAAUUCUCAGAAAAGAUGGGAUGACAUCAGACUGAAGAUUGAGGAAAGUACCUGCAGCAUUAUAGCUCUUCAGGAGACCAGACGUGAACAUUUUGACUUGACUUACUUAAAAAAUUUCUAUCCAGAAAGAUUCAAUCAAUAUGCAUACUAUCCAUCAGUUGGAUCAUCUGGUGGCAUUAUUACUAUCUGGAACAGCAACCAUUUUUCAGGUAGAGUUAUCUCUAUGAAUUACUUUCAUAUCACCAUUGAAUUUAUAUCAACUAUUGACAAUGCCAAGUGGUACUUCACAAAUGUAUAUGGCCCAAAUACAGAAGAGGGGAAACUGGAAUUCACCACAUGGAUGACAUGUUUGAAUAUAUCAGCAUGUAAAUAUUGGAUGCUCCUUGGUGAAUUUAAUUUCAUUAGGGCUCCUGAAAAUAGGAAUAAAGUGGGAGGUGAUCAUAACAGCAUGAUGACUUUCAACUCUAUUAUCAUUAAUCUGGACCCGAUGGAAAUCCCACUCAAGGGCAGAUCAUUUACAUGGAGCAAUAUGCAAGAAUGCCCACUACUAGAGAAAUUGGAUUGGAUAUUCACCAGUUCUAAUUGGAUAAAUGAUCAUCCAAACACUUUGGCUUUCCCUAUGGAAAAAAUCUCCUCAGAUCAUGUUCCCAUCAAAGUACAAAUUGACAGCAAUAUCCCUAAAAGCAAUAUCUUCAGGUUUGCGGAAUUCUGGACAGAGUUUGAGGGUUUUAUUGAAACCGUGGAGAAGUACUGGCACAAUAGCAUGCACUAUGCUGAUUCUGCUAAAAACCUGGUGGCAAAAUUUAAAGCUGUUAGAAAAGGACUGAAAACAUGGAGCAAAAAAUUCUCACAACUAAAGAAAACUAUUGCAAAUUGUUGCUUCUAUGUUAAACUGAUUGAUGGGAUUGAGGACCAGAGACAACUUUCAAGAACUGAGAGGAAUUUCAGGGAAGCACUUAUCACUCACACCAACAAGCUGUUGGAGGAAAAAAGGAAAUAUUGGAGGAUUAGAGCAAACAUAAGAUGGACAAAUCUUGGAGAUGAAAAAACCAAAUUUUUCCAUGCUAUUGCCACUCAGGUUUUUAGACACAAUUACAUCACUUUCCUCAAAAACACUGACAACAUUGAAGUAUAUGAUCAUGAUCAAAAGGCAGCUAUUAUUUGACAAUCUUUUAAGGAGAGGAUUGGUAUAACUGAGAACACAAAUAAACUUUUCAAUAUUGAUCAUCUUGCUUUGACUCAGAUUGAUGAAUCUAUGGACAACAUCUUCACUAAGGAGGAAAUUGACAACAUCAUUAAACACAUGCCUAAUGACAAAGCUCCUGGGCCUGAUGGUUUUAAUGGUCUCUUCAUGAAAAAGUGUUGGCACAUUAUCAAAGAAUAUAUAUACAAGUUUGUUGAUGAUUUCUACAAUGAGAAAAUUUCCCUGGAGCCUGUGAUCUCUGCUUUCAUUGCUCUCAUUCCCAAAAAGGAAAACCCUAAUAACCCCAAUGAUUUCAGGCCCAUUUCACUUGUCAGCAUGCCUAUAAAGAUAACUACCAAGCUACUGGCCAAUAGAGCACAACAAGAAGUGGUGAAAAGGAUUAGCAAAAACCAAUAUGGUUUCAUAAAAUCCAGGAACAUCCAGGACUUCUUAGCUUGGAGUUUUGAAUACAUUCAUAUGUGUCACAAGUCCAAAAAACCAAUUGUGAUCUUCAAAGUUGAUUUUGAAAAGGCUUUCGAUAAGGUAGACUACAAUGCUAUAUAUAACAUGAUGGAUCAUUUGGGGUUUUCAGCCAAAUGGAUUAUAUGGGUGAAAAUGAUCCUAACUACUGCUUCUGCAUCUGUCAUAAUGAAUGGUGUACCUGGGAAGAAGAUCAAAUGCAAAAGAGGAGUGAGACAAGGAGAUCCUUUCUCACCACUCCUAUAUGUUAUUGUAGCAGAAUUGUUACAACAGGUAGUAAAUGAAGCAUGGUCUCAAGGUGAAUUAUCUCUGCCAAUACAAAGUAACAACAACAGAAGAUACCCCAUUAUUCAAUAUGCUGAUGAUACUCUGAUCAUCAUGCCAGCUGAAACUACCCAAUUGAGAAAGAUCAUGAACAUUCUUUCUAUAUUCACUGAAUUUACAGGUCUAAAGGUAAAUUACAGUAAAUCCUCCCUAGUACCCAUCAAUAUUUCUGACAGCAGAGCACUUGAAUUAGCCAACAUUCUAGGCUGUAAAAAAGAAAGUAUGCCUUUCACAUACCUAGGCCUCCCCAUGGGAUCCACCAGACCUAAAGUUGAUGACCUCAUGCCUAUGGUAUCAAGGCUAGAUAAAAGAUUAUCUGGUAUUGCAAAUUUGAUGACAUAUUCUGGUAGAUUAACUCAUUGGAAAGCAGUGGUUUCCGUUGUACCAAUUUAUGCAAUGUGUUGCAUCAGAGUGCCUUUCACUAUCCUAGAUCACUUUGAAAAAUAUGGCAAAAGUUUUCUUUGGUAUGGUAACAAGAUCAAUAAACAGGGUAAUUGUCUGGUUAAAUGGGAUACUGUCUGCCUCCCCAAAAAAGCAGGAGGACUGGGAGUCCUUGAUCUGAGAACUCAAAACAGAGCUCUUCUAAUCAAAUUUCUCUUCAAGUUUUUUAAUAAACAUGAUAUUCCUUGGGUGGAACUAAUAUGGAAUAAUUAUUACUCUGAUGGCUCUAUAGCCUCAUGUCCUACAAGGUUGGAAUCUUUUUGGUGGAGAGAUUGAUGCUCUAUCUUGCAGGAUUUUAAAAGCAUGACUACAUGUAUCCCCUCUACUUGCAGCACCAUUUCACUCUGGCAUGAUAAGUGGAAUGAGGACACUCUACAGAGCAGAUUUCCUCAUUUAUACUCAUUUGCUAAAGACACUGAGUGUACAAUUGCCUCGGCUAUCGUCUCCUCAACUAGCAACUUUUAUGAGAUGUUUCAUUUACCCAUGUCAUCUAUGGCUGUUCAACAAAGCAAUGAGAUGUUGGAAAUCACAAGUAGCAUCCACCAGGACAAUGACAAUAAAGAUUGCUGGCAAUUUCUCUGGAAAGGAAACAAAUACUCCAACAGAAAGAUUUAUCUACACCUUAUUGGAAACCCACUAAAGGCAGCACCACCAUUUCAGUGGAUUUGGAAAUCAUGCAACUUGCCCAAACAAAAAUUCUUCUUCUGGUUGCUCCUGCUUGAUAGAUUAAAUACUAGAGAUAUACUAAUCAGGAUGAAUUUUCAAAUAGAAAACAGGAGGUGUAUCCUAUGUGAUGAUGAACCCAAUGAAUACCUACAACACCUCUUCUUUGAAUGUGACUUCAGCAGAAACUUCUGGGCUGCAAUAGGAAUGGAAUGGAAUACAAACCUUAAUACUAUUGAAAUGCUGAUGGAGGGCAAAAGCAGAGAUCAAAGCCAGGGUUUUAAGGAGAAGGUGAUUGCAGGGUGUUGAAGCAUAUGGAAGCGCAGGAAUGGCAUUAUCUUUGACAACAAGGAUAGAAAUUUGACUCACUGCUUAUCAAGUUUCAAAGAGCAUUUUAGCACCAUUAUCAAGAAAGCAAGACCUAGUUUAAAAGAUGGGAUGCAAUCCUGGUUGGAUACAUUGUAAUCUGUUAUUUCUCUUGUAACCUGUACCUCUUCUGUACAGACCCAUGUAAUACCACCCAUUAUUAAUAGAAAAUAGAGUUACAGUGGGGAGCCUUUCCCCACUGUGUUUGCUCAAAAAACCCGGAAACUUGGUACAUGUGUGAAUACAUAGACAAACAGAGUGUCCCUAAUAUGCCUCUACUUGACUAGCUUGUUAUCAAAGAUGGUUAUGUUUCCUAGCCAUAGACAUGUGUUUUCAUUUGAUGAACGGGAUCACAUCAUUAGAGAAUGAGAUGUGAUGGACAAGACCAAUCCGUUAGCUUGGCACUAUGAUCGUUUAGUUUAUUGCUAUUGCUUUCUUCAUGAUUUAUACAUGUUCCUCUGACUAUGAGAUUAUGCAACUCCCGAAUACCGGAGGAACACUUAGUGUGCUAUCAAACGUCACAACGUAACUGGGUGAUUAUAAAGAUGCUCUACAGGUGUCUCCGAUGGUGUUUGUUGAGUUGCCAUAGAUCGAGAUUAGGAUUUGUCACUCCGAUUGUGAGGGAGGUAUCUCUGGGCCCUCUCGGUAAUGCACAUCACAAUAAGCCUUGCAAGCAAUGUGACUAAUGAGUUAGUUACGGGAUGAUGCAUUACGGAACGAGUAAAGAGACUUGCCGGUAACGAGAUUGAACUAGGUAUGGUGAUACCGACGAUCAAAUCUCGGGCAAGUAACAUGCCGAUGACAAAGGGAACAAUGUAUGUUGUUAUGCGGUUUGACCGAUAAAGAUCUUCAUAGAAUAUGUAGGAGCCAAUAUGAGCAUCCAGGUUCCGCUAUUGGUUAUUGACCGGAGAUGUGUCUCGGUCAUGUCUACAUAGUUCUUGAACCCGUAGGGUCCGCACGCUUAACGUUCGAUGACGAUUUGUAUUAUUAGUUAUGUGAUUUGAUGACCUAAGUUUGUUCAGAGUCCCAGAUGAGAUCACGGACAUGACGAGGAGUCUUGAAAUGGUCGAGAGGUAAAUAUCGAUAUAUUGGAAGGCUAUAUUCGGACAUCGGAAAGGUUCCAAUUGAUUCAGGUAUUUUUUGGAGUACCGGAGAGUUACGNNNNNNNNNNNNNNNNNNNNNNNNNNNNNNNNNNNNNNNNNNNNNNNNNNNNNNNNNNNNNNNNNNNNNNNNNNNNNNNNNNNNNNNNNNNNNNNNNNNNNNNNNNNNNNNNNNNNNNNNNNNNNNNNNNNNNNNNNNNNNNNNNNNNNNNNNNNNNNNNNNNNNNNNNNNNNNNNNNNNNNNNNNNNNNNNNNNNNNNNNNNNNNNNNNNCUCAAGGGGUGGUUGCUCCCCCAUGGCAAGUACGAAUUGGACUAGGGAGGGGGCGGCGCCCCCCUCUCUUUCCUUCUCCCUCUCCUACUCCUUCCCUCUCUCCCCUCUUGGAAAAGGAAGGGGACUCCAACUAGGAUUUGGAAUCCUAGUUGGACUCCCCCAAUAGGUGUGCCCCUCCUAGGCCGGCCUCCUCUUCCUCCCUCCUUUAUAUACGUGGGCAGGGGGCACCUGUGGGACCCCGAUCCGCAUGGAGCAGGGGGCCUUCACACGUCAGCCCAGGAUAACACCUGACGCACGACAGGUCCAUAAUACAGCAUUCCAGGUACAACAAUAUUCGUCAAAUACAUGUAUAUGAGAUUACAUCCUUGAUGAAUACAACCAUCUGGCAUAGCCCUACGGCUAUUUUAAUGGCAGCGGAAGUCUAUUAAAAAGGCGGCGGAAGUCUUGGUUUGGCAGCAUAACAACUCUGGCUGGGCUCCACAACUCACAGGACUGGCAAGAUUACGGCCUAGCGCAACGGAUCAAGCGAGCAAUACGGGUACGACCUACAAAACUGGCAUGACACGCCAGGUCAGUACAUUGAAUGUACUUGCAAGACAACCAAAUACAUAGCAUCCAAACAAGCUGCAGACAAAGCAAGAACCGAGCGCAUGCAACACCCUAUCUCAUAUCAAUUACUAAACAUGGCAUGAUAAAAAUCAACUAAGCAUGAACAAAAUCAUAACAUCUACUAACAUGGCAAUGACAUGGCAUAUCAGGACAUGAUUAUAACAUUGUAAUAGCAAAACAUAGAAUUUUAUCUCAAUCAUGGCAUAACUUAACAUGUCAAUCAAAGCAUAGCAUGGCAUCAAGAAACUAUGCUAAAAAUAAACUACCGAAUAUAUAUCCAAUGCAGACAUAGCAUGUUAACAUUAUGCAAUCAUCUUCUGUCCUAUCAUGGUUCUUUAAAUGCAAAUAAUGAUAUAUUAUUCCAGCAAUGCAACCAAACUUGUGCACCGAGUCCCUCGGACUCUCUUACCAACGUGUUGCCUCGCAACCGAGUGGUGAUCUUUCCGGCGAUCACAACCAUGACCAACACUUGGUCUCCAACACUUAUCGAGACCUCGUCUCGUGAUCAUAUCAAAACAUCGUCGUGACUUCUCACGACUAUCUCAUAGUCCAAGUCACCAUAUUUUUGUUAUCACAUAUUUAUUUACCAACUUAAUUAUUUCAGGUUUAUCCUCCAUUUCGACCAAGACCUGAUAGUGGGACCUACUAUGAACUGUGUUGCUAUCGAUAGACUUUAUAUACACUCUACAAAGGUAGCACAUUGUACCCACACCACGGAACCCAUGGCCUCGUCAUCCCAUUCGGGUGGACCAACGGCAUUCCCACGAAACCAACCUACUGCCAUGACGCUCUCCCGGCCACUCCGACCCAAUCCCCAACGGGCUGGUCCUGGGUGGCCGCGUGUCUACCAAAGACACCCCGACCACCGUCGUGGUCAACUCCCACUCGGGGACACUCCCACUUGGGGACACUCCCACUCAGGGACUGGAACCAAAAAUCUCAAAAACGAGCACACAAGGUUAUGUCCGCUUGCCUGAUCAGGGUAAGCACGCCCAUAACCUUCCCUAGUGGGAGGCACCGGCGAGAGGUCAGAACAAUAGCUCGCAUUAAGGCCUCCCAUAAGGCAAAUGUGGCUGCACUGAAAAAGUUCGGUUUGGCGGCACUAUGACUCGAUCCCAUCGAUGACGGAGGAGGUUUGUUAUUAUUAAGUCAUUUUAUUUCCUUCUCCAUCAUCAUGAACAUAUUUAACAUGAGUGCAACAUGCCGCAUACAAAUGCACGAACAAAAUAUUGAACUCCUCAAGUGCACAACUAUAACAUAAAGGACACGACAAUAGUAUAUCAACGGUGCAUUACAAUCCUCAUAACACUUUAUAACGAUGACAUGCAAAUAAAGUUGAGUAGUGGCAUGGCAUUAUUAAUAAUAACAUUCUAAUUAACAUGGCAAAGGUAUCAUGAAACACAAGCAUGCAAGAUAGGCAUAAAGAAAUAACCGCCGAUGAAAACGAUAUAAAACAACUACAACUACACACACACACAAGGUGCAAGCAAAGUCAACAUGCAUGUUCGGGGCUCAUGACAAGAGGUUGGCUUGCCUGGGGGUCGACAAAUACUCCGGGAAGAAGUGUGAAAUGAUCGCGAAAAGAUUUGCCAGAAACAGUUCCUUCUUGGAGGGGCUGUUUAUGGGCAAGGGCAAAAAGGUCAUUUUCACUGUGUGAAAAUAUUAUGAAAAUGAUAUCAACGGAACGGGCUCGACGAAACGAAGACGUGGGCUUUGGAAUCACCUGAUUCGGAGCUACGGGUAAAAAGAUAUGACUGUUUAACUAUCAGGGACCAAUCUGUAAACAAAAUCAUUACAAACGGGGCCCUAGCAGAAAAACAGAUCGCAUCUUACUCAGAAAUACGCUUUCCAAAAAGGAAAGCGCAUUCUAACCCGAAGAAGAGGAAGAAUACGCUUUCGGUGAUUGAAAGCACAUUAUCCAGCAAUACGCUUUCGCGUGGGGAAAACGACUUCGCGCCUGGGGCACGUCCACUUAUCCAACGUGGCGCUCCCCGUCUCGCCGACAGGUGGGGCCCAGAGGCAGGGUCAACGCGGGCGGGGCCCGCCUGGCCUUCUUCUUCCUCACGCUUGGGGUCGAGCGAGGCAGCGGGAGGGGAUCGCCCCGACGGCGAUCGCCGGCACGUCCGGCCACCUCUCGCGACGGCCGACCUACCCACGAGCUCAGGAGAACGAGGCGCAUCUCCUGGUGGGCUCGGUUGCCGGCGAGGAGCACGGGAGAAGAAGCAGCAGGGCACGCGGCGGAGAGGGGCUUCGGGCUCUGGUGGGCAUGGGGUUCUGGUGGGGGAAGCGGAGGGGCGGCGAGCCAGGGAGGAUCGACGGGGAGUGGCGCGUCCAUCCAUGGGCUCAGACUGGGCAGGGGACGGCCGAAGAGAGAGAAUGGCCGAGGGGGAUCGGCGGCGGCCAUUCGGCCAUGGAGGGGGAUGUGGAGCUCCGAGGCGAGUGGGGAGGCUUUGAGAGGCGUUGUGGCUGCGGAAGAGCUCGAGGGCUCUACUUAUAACUGCGGGAGUGCUCGGGAAGGGGCGACGAGGUGGCACGCGGCGUGCGACGUGUCCGUGCGCCGGCGAGGGCGCAGGCGCGGCCAAGGCUCACGGGGAGGCACGGGAAGGUGACGAGGGGGAUCAAGACGAACGCCAGAGGGUCACGGAGACGAGGAAGGCGUGCGGACGAACGGAGGAAGAAGACAUCGGCGAGGAAGACCGCGAUGCACAGGAGCGCACUAUUCCGGUCGUUGGCACGGCUCUCCGGAGAAGAAAACGAAGGGGGCAGCGGUCCAGAGGGAAGACGACGACGAGGGGGGGCUACUGGACAUUAAUGGCGAGGCCAGAGGCGGUCGGGGCAACGAUGCCGACGACCACAGUGGCUAGACCACCGUUUUGGCCGGUUACACGCGUGGUCACCACUGGCAUGGCAUGCUCUGGGGUUUUAACUGAUGUAAAUUCAUGUCUACCGCGUAGUCCUUCCAGCGUGGAGUGUUACCAUGGUGAAAGAUCGGGCGGAGACAAAUGGAGAUGAGUGAAACAAGCUCCACAAGUUUGCUGUUGCAAACUUGGCAACAUCCUAGAGAUUAAACCAGAGAGGGUAAAUGGUAAACUUGAUGUCCGGGGGGCUUGGGGUAGAAAGGACUACGGUCCUGGGAGUUUUGAGGUAAAAUGGACAACUAUUUACCAUAGUUGCUGUACAACCACCAAAACUGACCUAGAAACUUAAUCAUGAUGAAACACUCACUAGGAGUGAUGGAUUGGGCUAUAACUUGGCAAAGCCUGAUGAUUUGAACAUACCAUGAUGCUGUAAAAAGUUCAUACCAAAUAGACUCACCAAAAUGGUACUUCCUUCACAGCUAUCAUUUCUGUCCAAAAACUUCAAAACAAUCGUCAGGGCAAUUGGUCACGUGAAAUGAGCCACAAUCUUGUGGAGAUAGGUUAUAUGAGUAGGAGAAGGCCUGUAAAAAUUAUCAUCCAUAAUGGAGCAAGAUAAAGUACACUUUCUUCACAAACUGAAAAUUUGGACAGAAAACAAGAAUUGCUCAUGUGCUCACAUAGUUCAAUGAAAUGAACUGAAUUUGGGUGGAGGAUAAUGAUUUGAGAUACUUGAGAGGAUGGAAAAGUUUCAUCCCAUUCGGAAACACUAUGAAGGUACUUCCUUCACAAACUUGUGUUCUGGUCAGAAACUUUGAAAAAUUGCACAAGGAGCUAGGGUGAAUGGAUUGAGCUGAUAUUUGGUAUCCAUGGGUUAUUUAACAAUGUUAAACACCCUGCCAAAUUGCAGCUCAAUUGGACUUAGCAAUAAAGCACUUCCUUUGCAAAAUGUUAGAGAAGGCAGAAACUUGCAUUGGAUCAUGUGCCAAAUUUUGAACCGUGGAAUCAUGAUAUUAGGAUGGAACUAGUGAUUAUAUAGCAAGGACAAGCUCCACAAUUUAUGUGGGAAUUUUCUCUGCUAUAAAAAUAGUAGUUCCUUUCGAAAUUGGCAGAAAUGCAAUAUUGGCAUUAAAUAGGAAAAGGCAAUUUUCCUUAUUUAAUUAUGGCCAAUAUACUUGCCAGAGCUUGGAUUAGGCAUAAGCAUCAACUCCACCAAUUCUCAUGAAUUUAGGAGAUGGCUAGAUAUGCCUUUGGAAUUUAUUCCUCAAAAAGGCAAGAAAAGGAAUAAAUCAUAAUUCAAAAAUAUUGCAUUGGACUUAGCAAUAUUUUUGCAUAUCCAAGGUUAAGAAAGAUAGGAUGAUCUCUGGGAUCAAUUGGGAGGAUCAACAGAACAAGGAAAAUGGUGGCUCCUUUGUAAUCACAAGGGCAUAUCCAAAUUCCAAAAAUUUGGAAUUAGGGUUUAAGAGGAAUUGAGCUGAUGCAAAUGAGGUCUUGCCCACUGAAAAAGACAUGAGCAGGAUUUUGAAAGGUUGGAAAUGACAAAUUUUUCUCAGGGUCAUCCAGCAAACUCAGGAGAAAAUUUUGAAAAUGAGUGCCAGGAGAGAAUAACAGCACAAAAAUUGAUAACCCAAUUUUGGGGCUGUUACAACUCUUCCCCCCUUAAAAAGAAAUCUCGUCCUCGAGAUUCCUAGGGUUACAGCACAAACGAAAGAAUAACAACUCCGGAGAAAAACCUCGGGGUUAAUUUUUAACCCUUUGGUUAAAUUCAAAUGAGUUGGGGGCACCGAGAAAAAAAAAAUCGCGGAUUCCUCCAUGAAACGUAGGUGUCGAGGUAGAAUCAAGGGUGAAACCUGUAUCGGGGUAGAUGUACUGGAUCGAGUGAAAUAAAAUUGGCAGUGUUUCUCCGGAAAUGAAAUCAAGAAAAAGAAUUAGAGACGAGAAAUUUCCAAGCGGAAAUGCCUCUGCGGGGUUUCUAGAGUUGGAAAUCCGGCACACGGCGUAUUCACAGAUAGAUAGGGAUAUGUGACUUUGCAUUUCCCCGAGUACUGCCCGUAUAUACUCGUGGGUGAACCGGGUAUGCGUGCAGUAUGCAGAAAAAUCUAAAGUAGCAAACAGACAGAGGCAAUAAACAUGCAACGGAAAACACACCAGGCAAAAUCAUUCUACGGUGUUUUAAUGCUAGUGGGUAUAUGUACUCCUGGUAUACAUAUACCUACACCAGCGCGCAUUUUAUUAUAGACUCGAGACGAGUCAGGGUUAUUUUAGUGUAUGUGAUCUACUAAUUAAAAUUUUGUUAGCAACACAGUGUCAACCCUGUCAAACAUUUCUGCUUGACAGAGAGACAAGCUAAACAAGCACAGAAACAAAAGCACCAAAGCAUACAUAGAACAUAGCAUACGGGUUACAACAGUACCAGCAUACAACAAAGCACGAACGCUCUACGCGCUAAAUGAAACAACUCAUACCGGGAUACAUAGUUCUAUCCUCAUAUCGGGGAUGAACUGACAGACUGAUCAUCUUACUGCGUGACUGAGGUCAUGCAGAGGAUUUGCCUUGUUGGGGCUCUCCGGGAGGACGAAGACUGAGCCAAUCUCCAUCUUCAUCAUCCGACACUACUAUGGGUUGGGGUUCGGCUGCUGGGGGUGUGGCUGAAAUUGAUUUGAGCAAAUGCUGCUGGUGGAUCUGUAAAAGAGCCUUGUCGAGGGUGACGAUGUUGGGUCUAGGCCACAACACGGGUUGAGAGGACAACACUGGUUCGAAUGGCGUUGGACAAAUGACUUGAGAUGUGAAUUUACGAGCCUCACGGUAAGCUUCCUUGACGACUCGCACCACAUCGUUGUCCAGAGUUCGAAACUCGGCAAGCAUCUGGGAAAUCAUCAUCCCCUGGGCGGUAAUAUACUGCACCAGGCGAGCGAUUGCGGGGUCAUCUCCUUGGCUAGCGGGAGAAGGCUGCAUUCCUACCUCUGUCACAAUGGGGUAGAAGCAGAAAUCACGCCUUGCUGCCAUAUGCGGGUAUCUGGUUCGGAGGUGAAGCAUAGCCUCCACAGCAGCAGCCUGAAUGGCUAAAUCAGAGGUAGGCAUAGCUCUACCCUGAAAAACCAAGGUCUGGCCAUCCGCUGCUAGGCUGAUGCACACUCUUGCAUCGAAGCGAUGAAGGUGAGGGACGGGUGAUGAUUGGAACACCAGGUAAUCGGGGCUAGCCUUACAGCCAAAGGCUUUGGUGAGCAUCUCAGCAAGAAGGGGUGGAAAGCCGAGGUGGUUGACGGCACCGGUGCGGUUGUGAAACUUGGGAGCUUUGAAGGUGCCAGUCAUGGCUGGAGUGCUACUAGCUAGGCUUCUCUGCAGGGACAUGGUUGACUGAGGGGUGAGUGAUACGGCGAGCGGAAAGGGGGCUUUUAUAGGCAGCUAUGCGAGACAUGCCCGCAUGGUGUGGCCCCUUUCCCUAAUGGCGAAGGGUGAGCGGUGUGGCCGACCCGAAAGGAUAUGGUUGCAAUUCACGCCACGGAUAACUAGGCGGGGACAGCGGGGUGAGGACGUGUCAGCCCCGACUGCGCCACCUGUUGAUUAACAGUGGCCAUGCCAUAUGCAGGGAUGGGUCAAAUCCCUUAGGGCCAUUACCGGUUAAUGGUAGCGGUGAUCUAAUACUAGGAUAACCUAUGCCAGCCAGGCUGCUCUGAUACCAUGCCCUGAGGCACCCCGAUCCGCAUGGAGCAGGGGGCCUUCGCACGUCAGCCCAGGAUAACACCUAACGCACGACAGGUCCAUAAUACAGCAUUCCAGGUACAAUAAUAUUCAUCAAAUACAUGUAUAUGUGAUUACAUCCUUGAUGAAUACAACCAUCUGGCAUAGCCCUACGGCUAUUUUAAUGGCAGCGGAAGUCUAUUAAAAAAGGCGGCGGAAGUCUUGUUUUGGCAGCAUAACAACUCUGGCUGGGCUCCACAACUCACAGGACUGGCAAGAUUACGGCCUAGCACGACGGAUCAAGCGAGCAAUACGGGUACGACCUACAAAACUGGCAUGACACGCCAGGUCAGUACAUUGAAUGUACUUGCAAGACAACCAAAUACAUAGCAUCCAAACAAGCUGCAGACAAAGCAAGAACCGAGCGCAUGCAACACCCUAUCUCAUAUCAAUUACUAAACAUGGCAUGAUAAACAUCAACUAAGCAUGAACAAAAUCAUAACAUCUACUAACAUGGCAAUGGCAUGGCAUAUCAGAACAUGAUUAUAACAUUGUAAUAGCAAAACAUAGAAUUUUAUCUCAAUCAUGGCAUAACUUAACAUGUCAAUCAAAGCAUAGCAUGGCAUCAAGAAACUAUGCUGAAAAUAAACUACCGAAUAUAUAUCCAAUGCAGACAUAGCAUGUUAACAUUAUGCAAUCAUCUUCUAUUCUAUCAUGGUUCUUUAAAUGCAAAUAAUGAUAUAUUAUUCCUGCAAUGCAACCAAACUUGUGCACCGAGUCCCUCGGACUCUCUUACCAACGUGUUGCCUCGCAACCGAGCGGUGAUCUUUCCGGCGAUCACAACCAUGACCAACACUUGGUUUCCAACACUUAUCGAGACCUCGUCUCGUGAUCAUAUCAAAACGUCAUCGUGACUUCUCACGACUAUCUCAUAGUCCAAGUCACCAUAUUUUUGUUAUCACAUAUUUAUUUACCAACUUAAUUAUUUCAGGUUUAUCCUCCAUUUCGACCAAGACCUGAUAGUGGGACCUACUACGAACUGUGUUGCUAUCGAUAGACUUUAUAUACACUGUGCAGAGGUAGCACAUUGUACCCACACCACGGAACUCGUCAUCCCAUUCGGGUGGACCAACGGCAUUCCGACGAAACCGACCUACUGCCAUGACGCUCUCCCGGCCACUCCGACCCAAUCCCCAACGGGCUGGUCCUGGGUGGCCCCGUGUCUACCAAAGACACCCCGACCACCGUCGUGGUCAACUCCCAUUUGGGGACACUCCCACUCAGGGACACUCCCACUCAGGGACUGGAACGAAAAAUCUCAAAAACGAGCACACAAGGUUAUGUCCGCUUACCUGAUCAGGGUAAGCACGCCCAUAACCUUCCCUAGUGGGAGGCACCGGCGAGAGGUCAGAACAAUAGCUCGCAUUAAGGCCUCCCAUAAGGCAAAUGUGGCUGCACUGAAAAAGUUCGGUUUGGCGGCACUAUGACUUGAUCCCAUCGAUGAUGGAGGAGGUUUGUUAUUAUUAAGUCAUUUUAUUUCCUUCUCCAUCAUCAUGAACAUAUUUAACAUGAGUGCAACAUGCCGCAUACAAAUGCACGAACAAAAUAUUGAACUCCUCAAGUGCACAACUAUAACAUAAAGGACACGACAAUAGUAUAUCAACAGUGCAUUACAAUCCUCAUAACACUUUAUAACGAUGACAUGCAAAUAAAGUAGAGUAGUGGCAUGGCAUUAUUAAUAAUAACAUUCUAAUUAACAUGGCAAAGGUAUCAUGAAACACAAGCAUGCAAGAUAGGCAUAAAGAAAUAACUGCCGAUGAAAACGAUAUAAAACAACUACAACUACACACACACACAAGGUGCAAGCAAAGUCAACAUGCAUGUUCGGGGCUCAUGACAAGAGGUUGGCUUGCCUGGGGGUAGACAAAUACUCCGGGAAGAAGUGUGAAAUGAUCGCGAAAAGAUUUGCCAGAAACAGUUCCUUCUUGGAGGGGGCUGUUUACGAGCAAGGGCAAAAAGGUCAUUUUCACUGUGUGAAAAUAUUAUGAAAAUGAUAUCAACGGAACGGGCUUGACGAAACGAAGACGUGGGCUUUGGAAUCACCUGAUUCGGAGCUACGGGUAAAAAGAUAUGACUGUUUAACUAUCAGGGACCAAUCUGUAAACAAAAUCAUUACAAACGGGGCCCUAGCAGAAAAACAGAUCGCAUCUUACUCAGAAAUACGCUUUCCAAAAAGGAAAGCGCAUUCUAACCCGAAGAAGAGGAAGAAUAGGCUUUCGGUGAUUGAAAGCACAUUAUCCAGCAAUACGCUUUCGCGUGGGGAAAACGACUCGCGCCUGGGGCGCGUCCACUUAUCCAACGUGGCGCUCCCCGUCUCGCCGACAGGUGGGGCCUAGAGGCAGGGUCAACACGGGCGGGGACCGCCUGGCCUUCUUCUUCCUCACGCUCGGGGUCGAGCAAGGCAGCGGGAGGGGAUCGCCCCGACGGCGAUCGCCGGCGCGUCCGGCCACCUCUCGCGACGGCCGACCUACCCACGAGCUCAGGAGAACGAGGCGCAUCUCCUGGUGGGCUCGGUUGCCGGCGAGGAGCGCGGGAGAAGAAGCAGCAGGG